UCACUUGGUCUUCAUGUUUUUGCUUCUCCUUCUACCAUUGCUACUAAUUUUAUAGUUUCUAAUACUAUUGGCAGGGCCCUCCCUAGAGCUGUUUUUUAGUAGCUUUUUUGUUUUGCUUGUUGGGCUUUGCCCUCUUCUGUACCCAAAAAAAAAAAAAAAAAAAAAAAUAUUGGGAAAUUUAUUUGGACCCAACUUUUUUAUCUCUACACCCAAAUAAUAUUUUCUCUUAUCUAAUCUUCCAAAUUUGUCCUUAAAUAACAAACAUUGAAGUUUUCUUUGUAUCUCUACACCCAAACCCCACGAUCCACCACUGUAGGGCGCUCCAUUAUUUCCGACAAACCCAACUCAAACGCCAGCAACACUAAAAUCGACAAAUCAAGACUGGAGAACAAAUGGUGUAGGAGUCCUAAUGUGAAUAUUAAAGCAAACUUAAGUUGCAAAACCCUUUUUUAUUUCAAUCGAUGAAAGGACCUUGGGUUAUGAACAUAAGGAACCUAUUAGGGUUUAGAGGUCCCCUCCACAUCAUAUGCAUAAGCCCUUUUUCUUCAUUCAUUAAUUUACGGAAGGGAAAAUUAAUACUAUUAUUCUCAUAAAAAGUGGGAAUACCAAGGAAAGAGAUCCUCUCCACACCAUAUAUUUUUCUUUUCUGAGUAGUUAUAUCCAAUGGAGAGAGGAAAACAAGAGCACCAAUGGUCGCAGGUUCACCGGAGAAAAUGAAGGUGCAGUGGUGAUGUGAGUUUAGGGUUAUUGGGUGUAAAGAUAACAACUUUAAUAUUUAUUUUCUCAUUUUUAUUUAUUUAAGGGCAAAUUUGAAAGUUUAGUAGAGAAAAUUUGUUAGUUGGGUGUAGAGAUAAAAAGGUUGGGUCCAACAAAAUUUCUCAUAAAGUUUAAUCACGCGAUUAAGUUCUUGUGCAAUGAGUAAAUUGUAGCAAUGACCCAUCAACUAAAAAUCCAUUAUUAUUGAUCCCUCAACUCAUCAAAAUAUGUAGUUAUGGUCAUUUUCGUCAACUUUGUAAGAAUUUUGUCAAAAUAAAUUAUGUUGGAAGGACCAUUGUUACAAUUAAGGUCCUUCAACUCAUCAAAACAUGUAGCUAUGGUCAUUUUCGUCAACUUUGUCAAAAUGAGUUAUGUUGGCAUGACCAUUAUUGCAAUUGGGUUAAAGUUGAGGAAUCAUUGCUCCAAUUGGGUUAAAGUUGAGGGAUCAUUUCUCUAGUUAGAUUAAAGUUGGGGGACCAAUGAUAAUUAAGUUUUAGUUAAGGGAUCAUAGUUGCACGUUUUGAUGAGUUGAGAGAUCAAUGAUAAUGAAUUUUUAGUUAAUGGAUCAUUACUCCAAUUGAGUUAAAAAUAAAGGACCAUUGCUACAAUUUACUCUUGUGCAAUAGAAGAUUAAUUUGGCCGAACAACCUGAUUAAGGUGCCUACUUUCUCUUUAAUUCAUUGGUAUCAUUUAUUUUCCCUUAAGCUGAAUUAUGCUCAAUUUAUGUAUCAAUAUUGUAAAGUUGUCUUUGUUAGAGUAAUUUGGACAAUAUAAAUUGAAAAUUAUUUGUGUAUAUGGAAAAGAUUAACCUCAGGGGUCACUUCGCCGGACUCCGUAGCAAUCUCCACCACUCCAAUCGUAAUGGUGAGUAAAUCACUUGUGUUUGUUUCCAUUUUUUCAAUUGGAAAUUGGGGGUUUUGAAUUCAUAUUUUGUCAAUUGGUUUUGUGAGCACUGAGAAUACACUACGAGCUUGUGUGUGUGUACAAUAUGUUGGAUUUGAUCUUUAUAAAGAAUGCGAGAAAUUGGGGUUAGGAAAGAGAAGAAAAGGAAACAGAACUCGAACUUCGAUCUUCAUUCUUGUUACUAAAGGAGAAAACCGAAUUUGAACCGGUUCAUACGUAAUCGAACCGAAUUUGUAUAGUUCGGUUCACCCCUUAGUACCGAACCGUACCAUACCAAAAAAAAUUUCUUGAGUUUGGUUUUGAUACAUCCCUCAUACUGUACCAUACCAAAUCGUGGCCAGACCUACUGAAUACAAAACUUAUAUCUGGGUCGUAAGUCGUAAGGCCUCCAAAAAAAAAGUUCAUAUUAUUCAUACCAAUCGGACAAAUCCCGCACCCAAAAACAAUGGCUAGAUAGAAAGUUCAAUUAUAGAUUAGGUAAUCUAUCCUUUUCAACUUAAAUGCACAUUCAUGAUGGUUAUGCAAAUCAUAUUAUGUUAACAAAUGCAACAAUUAAUUAUAUUUAUCCAUUUGGAAUGAUAUAUAUUUUCAAAGAUGGAAUUACAGACCCCGUUGACGUUGAGGCCAUUGCAUGAGAGAAUUUUAGAUGAUUUUCAAUUAAUUUAUAUUAUUGUUGUGAUAACCAUAAUAAUUAUUUUCUAAAUGUAAAACUAUAUUAAUGAAAUUUUCUUUGUCGGUCAAAAGAAGAUGAAAAGAUAUCUUUAUCUUCUAUCACAACAAAAAAAUUAAGGAUAUUAAUGUAAUAGGCUAAUAGCGAUGGGGUGAAGAAAUGGAACUAUCCUAAAUAGGCAGUUGCUGGUUAUAUUGGAUCAGGUGGUCUGAAUGAUUGGAUAAUUAGCAAAUAAAAAGGUUCCAUUUUUCAUGGACCCUCAAGUGGAAAUAUGGGAUAAAAGAUGGCAUAUACCAUUUUAUCCAUUUGUGAUUGUACAUUUUGAUGGUUGUGAUUUCACCCGAUGGCGCGGCAAGUGUGGAUUGGGAUAAGGAUGGUUUUGGUCUAUCAUCAAAGAUGGUUUGAUGUUCACGACUGGAUUUUACAACGCAUCCAAGUGCAUGGGUUCUAUAAAUACAGAGUUGCGCACAAUAAAAAAGUACAAAGGACCUUCAAACCUUUCACACACUCUGAGAAACUCCUGAUUCUCCCAACUUCGUCAACACAUCUUCAAUUUGGAUUAACAUCACUGUUUGUCAGUGAGGAGUCCUUAGUCUUCUCGUCUCAUUAGCCCUCUAGGUGAAGUGAGGUGUUACUGAAUUACUUGAGUAUUCAGCACAUUGAAAGUCGAACCUUAUUUGAACUUCACAGUAGUUAGCAAUCUUAUCUUCAGGUUUUAGAACCCAAUGCCAAGACAUAUUCCUUCCUCGACAGUGAUGGUUUGUACACAAAAGUUGGUUUGUACACAUAAGUCAGUAUUGUGUUUGACACACCAUCCCAUUCAUUCUACUAGCCCACAAACGCGUGGACUCGUCCAAAAUUACCCCACUCUCGGCCCGUUCACUUGCCCACUCGUCCCACGCGGCCCGUGAGUCUUCAGUGCCUGAUAGGGGGGCCUACUGUUAGGGCCGUUGUUGGCCACAACCCAGAGCCCAACGAUUUUUUUUUGCAUCCCACGACUGGCAUUUUUGGACCGUUGGUUGAUCCAACGGUCCAGAUUCAAAUUUUGUUUUUUUAAAUGUUAUUUUAAAAUACAUUGAAUCCAACGGCUGAGAUCGAAUAUAAUCAAAUCUAACGGUAAAAUAAAAAAAGAUAAAAAAAGAUAUAACAGUCCAAAUUUAAAUCCAACAGCUAAAAUAAUUUUAAAAAAAAUUAUUUAACUCAAAAUUCACCCAAAAACUCUAUAAAUACCUUUGUAUUUGUUCAAACAUCCACACAAAACUCAAUUUUCUCCCACAAUUCUUCCAUUUUUUCUUUCUACCAUUUCUUUCCAUUUCCAAAUUGUUCAACACGAUCCUUGAAUUGGCCAUCCCAAGCAGUAAGACAAUUCUUCCACUCCCAAAGCAUACAAUCGAGACUUCCUAUCAUGUCAGGAAAGCCUAUUUUGUCUGCUUUGAGUAGAAUGUGACGACAUGUCCCGAAUUAUUAUAUAUUUUUCUCCCUAAGUGUGUAAAGUGACGGUAAUGCCCUCGUGAUUUAGUGACGUGGAUGUACAUAUGUAGUUUUAAAUUAUUAUUUCUAUUGUCGUAGUUAAAUUGUACUCGACGCCAUGAGUGUGUUGAUGUGACCUAGGGCUAAAACAAAUUCGUAACGAAGAAGUUACGAACAGACGAGUGUGUAAAUGCGUAGAAAUAUAUUUUUAUGGGUUGGCUAUACCUUACCCACCAAUCACCUUAAUUCCUGAUUUCUUUGGCCUAAUUGAAUUAAAAAUAUCUCUCAUUUUUCCUUCUGCCCAAUCACGCACAUACACACCAUCACUCUCUCUCUUCUCUCGGACCUUCUUCUUCUUUCUUCUCAUUCCGUACACCCGAGCCACCCUUACCUCACAAUCAUCAUCAAAACAUUAUGGAUCGAAUUGGAAAUCACUACCAUCGCAGUCACCUCGAUCCCACGAACUCAUUGAUACCCUUAGGUCGAGGAAUAGACGUCGGGAAUUCGAGAACUCGGGAGCUCUGGCGAGGUGUAUUUUUCUACUUUGUGAUCGUGGUCUUUUUCUAUGGUUUAAAGGCUUGAGGUGGGUCCUAAUCAACUUUAUAGGGACCCUAGAUUAGUUUUGGAGCAGUUUGAACGUUGGAAUAGGUGAGAACAUGGAGUUGCAGGUUGGCCGGUUGAUCCAAGCCUUACUCCGACCACUUUCUGUCGGUUUUAGAACCUCAAGUAGGUAAGAUUGUAUUCUUCUAGUUGAGAGUUUCAAAUCCAUAUAAAAUUCAUGGAAUUUGGUUGAAAAAUGAUGAAGAUAUUAAAGUUUUAAGAUUUUUCCAAAAAUCAGCGACACAAACGGCGCCCGACGGCCAGCGAUGGAUUCCGACAAAGCCAUCGGAGAAGGAGGAGAAUAUUAUGUCUAACUUUGACAGAAUAUACUAACAGCGUCAGGUAACUCUAUUAGUUUUUAAACAAAAUAUUCUACUAUUUAAUGAAAUAUUCCCUAACGCCGUUAGGGAUUCCGUGCCUGCACGUGCCGGCUUAUGAGGGCGCGUGAGACGUCAGGAAAUUAAUCUAAAAAUAUUGGGGUGUUCGAGUUGUUGAGUAGGUCAUGUUGGUAUAUUCAAACACCCUAUUUGAGCAACGUAUGAGAAGUUAUUCCUAGGGUUUGUGUAUGUGCCUUAAAAUUAAUGUAAAAUUAGUUAUUUCGCAUAUAGGUGAGACUUACCCGGAGGACAAACGUGGUCAAACGAGACUUGGGGGCUACGAUCCUACUACUUACCAGUGAGCGGGCUUUUUUUUUCUAUAUAUAUGUAAAUAUGCUUAUGAAUCCCAUAAACUACUUUAAAUGAACGUAUGUUUUAAAUGCCAUGUCGUGUGCAUUAUGUGUUAGUAUUGCAUUAGUAUAGCUAUGCAUAGUAUUGGAUGAGACUGCGCAGACUCAGGUAAGUUUCAGGUGAGUACAUCAUGAUGGUAUUGGGUGCGUGUGUGUGGUUAUACGUUGAUGCAUUUUGAGCUUAUUAUCCUGCACAUUGGUGUUAGUGUUCUCGCCCAUGGCCAGGGCAUAGUUUUUCACAUGAUGUUCACCUCCUGGGCCGCACGCUCACUUUGGAUCCAAGUUUGGUGCACAGCCAUAUUGCACAGACCACAAUAGGUGGUUCCGACUCGUAGGUGACCUGCAAUUAUUUGCACAGCCUUCACGUGAUCGUAGCACUUAAGCGUACUUAUCUACACCCAGCCCUGUUGUACAGACCACAAUAGGUGGUUCCGACUUAUGUGCAUGCAUACUUGAUGAGCUAUAGAUUCAAUUGUACAGGUUACAUUAGGUGACUCCGGUUGGCAUACUAUUUUAGGUUGAUUCGUAUCACCUGGCUUACACAUUUUAUGGUUGAACAUCUUGACAUGGCAUACCUCUGUUUUCACUGCUCUAAGCAUUAUCCUUAUGUACCUAGUUGUUAUUAUUUUCUGGAAAAUUAUAUGGGUUUACAGUGAGGGGUUAGUAUGUUCAUAAAGACAACUGUGUUUUCAAAAACUUUGUUUUUGCCUACUCACAUUUUUUGUUUUGCACCCUUUCAGGUUCUAGGUAGUUGGUCAUCCUUGGUGGCUCACGAGGACUUUCACGGCGGUUCUGACAUCUCUGUAAAUAAGUAGGGAUUUUUUUCCCUGUUUGUAUAAUUAGUACUUAGUUGGUUCGAUUGCACUUUCGUUUACCCAUGCUCUGAUAUUUGUAUAACUUGCUUGGUCAUCUUUACUCACUUAUAUUAUCUUAGUUUAGAUAAGUUUGGUUUUAGGUUUUUAUUUAUUCGCAUUUCUUUUAUUAUUACUUCUGUUGCGCAUUUUGGCUACGUUACUCUUACGUGACGGGCAUCAUGUUUCGACUUCGGUUGGGGUGUGUCAUAAAAGCCUCUUCAAGUCUUCAUGAUUUGGCUUGCAGAGAUAUGUGGCUCCAUAUGUGGCCUGAAUUGCCCCACAGAAGCGCUCCAGGUUUUUAAUAGCAGUAGUCUCCGCAAGUCGGCAAUACUCAUCAGUUGAGUUUGCAGAGCACUCAUUAGCUAGCAUCCGAAAUGCAGAUGUGAGCUUCUGAUGAGGUGAUAGACUUUGUCGGCCUACGACAUUUAUCUUCCUUGCAAAGUAGUGGUCAUGAUUGACAACUGUGUUCAAGAUGCUUUCAAAAAUCUCUCUCCUCAUUCGAAACCGUCUCCGAAAAUCAUGAGCAGGAAAUCUCGGACGCUCAAUAAAAUAAUAUUUCAUCAUUCGGUCAUGACACUCUUCUCUAUCACGUUGCACAAAUGAACGCUUCGUGACAUAACCACAAUAGCUAGAUUCGACAUGGUGCUCAUAUUGCAUAAGCGAGUUUGGAAGUUUAGCUUAUGCGUUGAUCAUUUUUGAAUCCUCAAUGUCAAGGCUUGCUUGGUAUUAUGUCAUUUGCAUUGCCCUGCUACACCUUCUUCUAUCAUCCAUUGUUGAUAUAUUGAGGAUUUUUAUGAAACAAAAACACUUUGAAAGUUGAAAGAUUAGUGAAUAUAGGGAAUGAUUGAAGGUUGAAAGAUUGUGUGACCAACUGAUAUUGAACAUGUGUUUAUAUAGAGGAUGAUUGAUGAAAGUUGAAAGUUUGGUGAAAGUUGAACGGUUGGUGAAAGUUGAAGAUUUGUGAAAGUUAAAGACUUGCUUUGUGGAAAGAUUUAGUGAUUUUUUCAAUAUUUAUUGGAAUUUAAAUAUUUUUAUAUUAAAAUGUUCAUAAAAUUAAUUUACCAUAGGCUACAUAAUUUUUUUUAAAAGUUAAUUUAAGAAAAAAAAUUAGCCUAAGUUCAUUCUUUAAUAAUCCCGAACUAAAAUUUUAGGCUAGGGUUGGAGCAGAAAAACUGUUUCUGUGUUAAAAGCUAAAUUUUUUAGAUUAAAAAUUUUAAAUUUUAACCCAAAGGUUGGAGAUGAUUUAAGAAUGGAUAAACUUAACCAAGAAAAGAAGAAAAAAGAUGAAGGGCAAAUAAGUGAGAAGCAACAUGACACGACACACGGACGACCAUAGCAAUAAAGCGUGCGUCCUCACGUCCAUUGAAUAUAUAGAUGGGAGCUACAACAUCGUGUUUCACGUGCAUGUGUAUUAUACAUAAAGGCAUAUACAGUGUUAGCUUAUAUAUUAUAAAGUUUGUAGGCCACUUACCCAAUUUGGCAUAUGUUUUAUCUUUUUACGUGAAUAACCAAUGUGUUAUGAUGAUACAAGUCUCUUAACAUAUCCGGAGUUAGAAAUAUCAUAAGACAGUGUUGCGAUCAUAUUGAAAUUAAUUGACAGUUUGUAUUAUAUAUUUGAUUAUUCUUUAUUAACUUAAGGAGACAGCAUACUUAGACCUAAUUUAGUCACAUUCUCCAACCGAAAAUAAAGCGGUGUAGUAUUCAUACACUUUUUUUUAUUUCUUACACAGUCUUAAUUAAUUUCUAUUGUUUGAUCUUCUUCAAUUCAUUCGAUCUGACGACCGAAAAUUAAGAUGGUGUGUGGACGAGUAAAUUAUAACAAUGGUCCCUCAACUUUAAUCAAAUUGGAGCAAGGGUGCUCAACUAAAAAUCCAUUACCAUUGGUUCCUCAACUCAUCAAAAUGUGUAGCUAUGGUCAUUUUCGUCAACUUCGUUACAAUUUUGUCAAAAUAAGUUAUAUUGGAAUGACUAUUGCUACAAUUGGGGUCCCUCAACUCAUCAAAACGUGUAGCUAUGGUCAUUUUCAUCAAUUUCGUUAGAAUUUUAUCAAAAUGAGUUUUGUUGGAAUGACCAUUGCUACAAUUGAAUUAAAGUUGAGGGACUAUUAUUUCAAUUGAGUUAAAGUUGAAAGAUCAUUUCUUCAGUUGUAUUAAAGUUGAAGGAUCAAUGGUAAUGAAUUUUUAGUUGAGGGGACUAUAGCUGCACGUUUUAAUGAGUUGAGAGAACAAUAAUAAUGAAUUUUUAGUUGAAAAACUAUUACUUCAAUUGAGUUAAAAUUAAGAAACAAUUGCUACAAUUUUUUUAUAUGGAAAGUGGAUGAUGUGAAUAGCACAUCCAAAAAUAAAAGGGAACUUUAACGAAAAGCACCCGGUACUGUUCACUUUAACGAAAAACCACAUUUUUACACUAAAAAGUCAAUCCUGGUACUAUUCACUUUACCCUUUAUUUUGUCCUUAUCAUUAAAACUCAAAGUUUUCAAGCCCUUUUCAUUAGUUUUCCUAAAAUAAAAUGCACCACAAUUUGGUAGGAUCUUCCUGUUGAGAGUAAUAAAUUAAUAAUUGCCGAAAUAUUGGAUAAUUUGUCGGCCACAACGCUAUGAGGGAGUAUCUGGGGAUGAAUAUACUCUUGCCGACAGAUGCCCAAAUUCCAACUGCCAUUCAAAUGAGCCCUCCACCACCACCGGCCAUAAUAAAUUCUCUUUCUUUAGUGAAGAAGAAAAAGAGGUACUUGGCCCUCACCUCAACUUUUUGAGAAAGAACAAGUUUAUCGCUAUCAGAAUGUUUCGGUCAAUUAUAUAAGUUAUGUGUAAAUUUUUCUUUAGAUAACAUUACAUUAUUAUAUUUAAAAUGUUCCGUAACGAUAAAUUUGUUUCAUACAAAUUAUUCUCCAACUUCUUGGAUUUUUCUCCUUUUUCCCGAAAACCAGCUUAUAUUAGUGUUCAUCCUCUGUCAAUAUCACUCGCCCACAACUAUUCAACUAACUUUUAAUAAUUUGACAACGUGUCAUAUUUUUGUGCAAAGCGGGCCCAUUUUUGUGGGUGAUAUAAUAAUGGCGUAUGUGGUUUGUCAAGACAUAUACUCAUUUAUCCAUUAGCAGUUAGGUAAGUCACCUCACUCACCCACAGCCUAACACAUCAACAAAUAUUGCUUACAAAUUCUAGAAAAUUCGACCAAGAAAAAAAACCAAAUGCUCGCAAAUUAAAAUUGUGUAACAUGAUUAGUUUUUUAUCCAUUAGUAUUAAUUUUACGUUGGAAGAAAUUCCAAAUUUAUUCUUGUAAAGAGGGAUAUGAAAAUACUUUGUAUGUCUAUCACCAAAAUCUUCGAAUGUUUGAAUGGUUGAUUUUCAAGUCUCACACAAUUGGAUUUAGUUCAAGUGAGAAAGAAAUACACUCAAACUAUUAGAUAUGAGGAAUGAAAAUACACUACAAAAUCUUGUGAACAUUUCUAAUAUUCUCUUCUAUCUACUUUUUGUGAACCAAGUUUUUAUUUGUUUUUUUUUUUAACAAAAGAUAUUUUUUAUACUAGGGAAAUAAGGUGGGUUUAGCCUCAUAAUGGGCUAACAUAAUCUAGUUCAAACUUGCAUUUGGUGAGAAUCGAACCUAAAAUCUCUCACUUACAAGUGAAGAGGAAUACCAUUAGAAGUGUCAUGAAAUUAGCAGUCUUAUAUGUAAAAAAUUGAUUGACUAAAUGCUGUGUUAAAAAACAAGAUUAAUACUUGCAUCUCCCCACUUGGAAAAUGCAAAUAUUUCAUUUCUUGCAAAUAACGUAUAUCAUGCGUUCUGUUCAAUCGCAUAUUCAAAAAUGUUAAAAACAAGAUUAAUAUUUCUAUCUCCCCACUUGGAAAAUGCAGUAUUUCAUUUUUUACGAAUAACGUAUAUCCUGUGUUCCGUCCAAUCGCGUAUUAAAAAAAUGUGUGAAGUUUGGAUUAACUACACUCUUUGAGAAUUUCCUUAAAUAACCACUUUUUGAAAAUUUCUUAUAGGACUAAGUGAGUCUCCGCUGAGAAUUUCCUUAACUAACACAACACUACUUGAGUGAUAAUUUGUUAUAUCUUGAAUAGAGAAUAAAUCAGUUCCCUACUUUUGAAGGUACUAUUAACUUACACUAUAUUUGAAUGAGAACAAUAAACUUAGAAUUUAGAUGAAGGAAAUAAAACAGUUUCCUACUUUUGAAGGUACUACUCGAGUGAUAAUUUGUUAUAUCUUGAUAACGUGUCAUAUUUUUUUGCUAAGCGGACCCAUUUUUGUGGGGUGGUAUAAUAAUGGCGUUUGUUGUUUGUCAAGGGCAUAUACCCAUUUAUCCAUUAGCAGUUAGGUCACCUCACUCACCCACAACCUAGUACAUCAACAAAUAUUGCUUACAAAUUCUAGAAAAUUCAACCAAGAGAAAGAAAACCAAAUGCUCGCAAAUUAAUCUGUGUAACAUUAGUUUUUAUCCAUUAGUAUUUAUUUUACAUUGGAAGAAAUUCCAAAUUUAAUCUCGUAAAGAGGGAUAUGAAAAUACUUUGUAUAUCUAUUAUCAAAAUCUUUGAAUGUUUGAAUGAUUGAUCAUCAAGUCUCACACGAUUGAAUUUAGUUCAAGUGAGGAAGAAAUACACACAAACUAUUAUAUAUGAGGAUUGAAAAAUACACUACAAAAUCUUGUGAUAACAUUUCUAAUAUUCCUUUCUAUCUACAUUUUGUGAUAAGUUUUUUUUUUCCUUUUUUGAACAAACUAUAUUUAUCUACAUUAAGGGAGAGGAGGUGAUCUUAGCCUCACAAUGGGCUAGCAUAAUGUGGUUCAAAUUCGCCUUUGGCGAUAAUCGAACCUAAAACUUAUCAUUUACAAGUAAAUAGGAAUACCACUAGAUGGAUCAUGAAAUUAGCAGUCUUAUAGGUAAAAAAAAAUUGAUCGACUAAAUGAUGUGUUAAAAAACAAGAUUAAUACUUGCAUCUCUCCACUUGAAAAAUGUAGAUAUUUCUGUGAACACGGAAAAUUCCUGAAACGAAAGAGACAAGAACAACGUGCACAAAAUAAUAUUUUGGUGUUAAUGGAUUUGUUGGGUUACGAUCUCUUUUAACUUGAUCCUCUGAUUCGAUCUCCGUAAGGUGUUGAUUUAUGGAUGUUUCGUUGAUCCAAGGGCUGUUGAGGCUUGAUCUUAGAUGAACUGUUGGAAGUUUCUUCAAGGGGCCGUGGGCUUGAUCUUUGAAGGUGGAUUUGAGCGGAUCUUCAAGGAGCCGUUGGGGCUUGAUCUUGAGGAUGAGUGUUUCUUCAAGGGCCGUUAAGGCUUGAUCUUGAAUAACGGUGAUGAACGGAUCUUCAAGGGCUUUUGGGCUUGAUCUUGAAGAACGGUUGGAUGUGUGGAUUUGUUGAUGUUGUUGAUCCAAGGGCCGUCGGAGCUUGAUCUUGGAAGAACGAUGAACGAAGAACGAAGAACACUUUCUUCAAAGGCCGUCGGGGCUUGAUCUUGAAUUGGUGAUUGUUGAUCCAAGGGCCGUCGGGGCUUGAUCUUGGAAGAACGAUGAACGAAGAACGAAGAACACUUUCUUCAAGGGCUGUCGGGGCUUGAUCUUGAAUUGGUGAUUGUUAAUCCAAGGGCCGUCGGGGCUUGAUCUUGAUUCUUCGGGAUGAACGGAUGAUGAACAAUGAACACUUUCUUCAAGGGCCGUCGGGGCUUGAUCUUGAAUUGGUGGAAGUUCUUCAAGGGCCUUUGGGGCUUGAUCUUGAAGGUGGAUGAUUGUUGAUCCAAGGGCCGUCGGGGCUUGAUCUUGGGAUGAACAGUUGUGUGGAUUUGUUGAACACUUUCUUCAAGGGCCGUCGAUGCUUGAUCUUGAAUUGGUGGAAGUUCUUCAAGGGCCGUUGGGGCUUGAUCUUGAAGGAGGAUUUGACGAAGAACGAAGAGGGCUUUCUUGAUCCUUCGGGAUUUGCUUGAAUUUGGGAGGUUGGAUGCUUGAAAGCUUUAGAGUUUCAAAGCUUCAAGGAUUUUGGAUGUGUGGGGAGUAUUCUCUUCCAUUUUGGGAGUAGAGAAAUGUAUUUGUGAAUUGGUUUUUGAUACCUUGAUGUAGAAGCCUAUUUAUAGGCUUUGAGAAUGAAUCACCACCACAAAAUAUUUUUUUUCUUUUCCAAGCACCAUUGCCUAAUUUCCCACUUAAUACAAUUUUAAACUUGAAGUGGUAAUUUUAUGGCCUAAUUUUCCACUUAAUAUCAUUUUAAACUUGAUAUGUGCAUGCUUUGUCAUUGCCCAAAAUGAGAAGAAAACCUUGUUUUGAUCUUCAAUGAAUUGAAAUGUGCUUGCCUUGUCAUUGCCCAAAAUGAGAAGAAAAACUUGUGUAAUCCUUCAAGGGUAUUUCUUUUUAUUUUGUUGAGUCGCACACCAUGUGUACAAUUUGUAUGACACGUGGCAUAUGCCAUGUACGCCUUGACACGUCAAAAUUUUAAUGCGUUGGUGAACAUUUAUUUCACCGCAAUUUCGGUGUCUACAAAUGCCCCCACUUCAAGGUGCGUCGUAUACAUGUGCUUGUCACGUGUAGGAGAUGCGUUUUGAAGUCCCUUACUGUAGAUGUCAAUCCAAUGGCCAUCGAGGCUUGAUCUUGAAUUGGGCUGGAGAUUUCUUCAAGGGCCGUUGAGGCUUGUUCUUGGACUUUGUUUGAAAUUUCUUCAAGGGCCAUCGAGGCUUGAUCUUGAAGGUUGAAAUUGGACCACAAGGAGCUUCAUGUGGUAGAUGAUCUUUGGCUUUGGUAGUGGAUGAAUCGGCACGUAUUUGUUUUUGCGCUUUGUUGACUUUCCACAGCUUUGAUCUUGAACUGGGUUGGAGGAUUUUUUGGAUUCCUCCAAUUGUUGAUUUUCCACAGUUUAUUCUUGAACUGGAUUUGAUUCAAAUAUGGUGGACGCUUGAUCUUGAAUCGGACUUGUGAUUUCCUCAAGGGCCGUCGAGGCUUGAUCUUGAAUUUGGCCGGAAACUUCUUCAAGGGCCGUUGAGGCUUGAUUCUUGAAGGUUGACUCGAACACAUGGCAAGCAGGCACGAGGUGAAGGUGACGACUUGUUGCUUUGUUCAAUCUUUCUAAUUCACACCUGAGCAGUUUGGUCAACGGUAUGAUCUUCAAGAUUGAUGGGCUCUUCUUCCAGUUGGUGAUUUGAUCUUUAAGGAUUUGAUUCAAGGGUGGUGAAACGGCACAUGCAGCCCACAACGCCUAGCAAGUCGACCCAAGAAUUUGAGGGUUAAAACGAGUCCUCCACCCAGAGUGAUUGCAAACCUGAUGAUAUGAGAUACUUUUGAUUUUGAAGAAGUAGCGGAUGAAUCGGCACGUGCUUUGUUGUGCUUGUCUCCACAUGCUUCAAUGUAUCAUUUUCCCUUGUCUUAUCUAUUCUUCUAGCAGAAUGUAGCAUCUUCUUAAGUUCUUCAACUCAGACUCCUUCUGCUGAGCUGACUGUGCAGGCUGCAUUAUUCUCUGCUUGUUUCUUUAGGCAGAUGUGGCAGCUUCUUGAGUUCCUCAGCUCGGACUCCUUCUGCUGAGCUGAUUGUGAAGACUGCAUUCUUAUCUGCUUGUUUCUUCUGUACGUUGUCUCCACAUGCUGCAAGGUAUCAUUUUCAAUUGCCUUAUUUGUUUUCCAGGCAAAUGUGGCAUCCGAGUUUGAGUGGAGGUUCUGGCAUAUUGUUUUCUUUAUCCUUGUCUUUGUAGGUAAGAACAAGGACAAAGGAAAGGACAGGGAGAACGCAUGAUAUGAUAUACUCUUGCUUUCUACCCUGGUGAUAUGAGAUACUUUUGCUUUGGUGUCAUUUGUUUGCAGAGGUACCCCAAGGAAUAAGAAACACUGAGUGACUCGAGAGGCUUUGUUGGGAAGGCAUUCUAGGAGAUGAAGAAAGGUUCUUGGAGAUGAAGAAAGGUUCUCGGAGAUGAAGAAAGGUUAUGUAUGUCUGCCUUGCUAUGGAGGGUAAAGGUGGACAGUUAUAGGAAAUUCUUUAGUACCUGUAGAGGUACUAUUCUUUUACUCGUGUCGGCAACCAAUGUGUGAUUGAUCAGUAUGGCUUCACGUGUUUUCUUCUUUAUCAGAAAUCUUCGACAAAUUGUCCGUAAUUUUCGUCAAGCUGAGUGUGCAUGUGACAGGUGUUGACGAGGCUGAAAAAGACUGGUGCCUCUUCGAUAUCUGGGAUCGGCGCUUCGACAAAUUGCCCGUGAUUUCCGCAAAGCUGAGUUUGCGCGUGACGGGUGCUGACGAGGCUGAAAAAGACUGGCGCCUCUUCGAUAUCUGGGAUUGGCGCUUUAACAAAUUGCCCAUGAUUUCUGCAAAGCUGAGUUUGCACGUGACGGGUGCUAACGCGUCUGGAAAAGCAAGAUGCUUCUCCGAUUUCUGAGCUUGCCUCUUUGAUUUUUGAAUUGGCCUCUUCGAAUUCUGAGCUCGCCUCUUCGAUCUUUGAAAUCCCAUCGAGUGUUGAUCUUUAUAGAGGCACGCAGUUCGUUUCAAAGCACACUUGAAUUUUCGCUUGUAGAAACUCCCUUCUUGCACUUCUAAGAUCUUGAUUUGUCCGACCUCUUCUUUCUUCAACACCUUUGAAAAUGUCUGGACCCUCCGACCGUCAUUUUGAUUUGAACCUUGGUGAAGAGGUAGUCCCGUCUUCUCCAGAUAACAUAUGACGCCCAUCUUUCAUAUCCCCUACUGGUCCUCUUACCGUUGGGGAUUCGGUGGUGAAGAAUGAUAUGACCGCUGCGGUGGUGGCCCGAAACCUUGUCACUCCCAGAGAUAACAGACUACUUUCCAAACGGUCUGAUGAGUUGGCUGUUAAGGAUUCUCUGGCUCUCAGUGUGCAGUGUGCAGGUUCUGUGUCUAAUAUGGCCCAACGCCUAUUUGCUCGAACCCGUCAAGUUGAAUCAUUGGCGGCUGAAGUGAUGAGUCUCAAACAGGAGAUAUUAGAGGGCUCAAGCAGAGAGAUAAACAGUUGCAUAAGCUCGCACAUAGCUAUGCGACAAACAUGAAGAGGAAGAUUAACCAGAUGCAGGAAUCUGAUGGUCAGAUUUUACUUGAUCAUCAGAGGUUUGUGGGUUUGUUCCAGCAGCAUUUGCCUUCGUCUUCUGGGGCUGUACCGCGUAAUGAAGCUCCAAAUGAUCAACCCUUGGCUCCUCUUCUUCCUGGAGUUCCGCCGAGUGGUGUGGCUUCAAACAGUCAACCUCCGACGCCUCUCAUUUCUGGAGCUCUGCUGAGUGGUGAGGUGGCACCUAAUCGUCCUUGAAGAUCCCCUCUUGUAAAUUUGAUUUGAUUUUUUUUUAAGUAUGUAUAAUGCAAAUUUAUGUAAAAUUUCCAGAAAAAAUAAAUAAAAACGGACUUUAUUUCUCUCAAUGCAUUUGUUUUGUUUUGUUUUUGUUUUUUUUGUUUUUUUGUUUUUGUUUUUUUUGUAAAUACAUAAUAACAUAUGUAUUUAUUUAUUUAUUCUUUUGUAAUAAAAUUGACUUUCUUUAAUAAAACUUUUAUAUUUUUCUUAUUUAUUUUGAUAUGACUGAACUCGAAAUUGAAUGUUCGAGCCGCCUACGUACCCUUCCAAAGAAGAGAUCAAGCCAUAACGUAGUUCAAAUGAGUGAUGAAUUUAAUAGUGAUUUUGAUGAUGAUUUUGCCGUACACAGUUUAUGCUCUUGUGGGCCAGGAGCUUUGGUGUUGCCUUUUAUGCUCGUGCAGACCAGGAGCGUUGAUGUCGCCUUUUAUGCUCGUGUGGGUCAGGAGCGUUGAUGUUGCCUUUUAUGCUCGUGCAGACCAGGAGCUUUGUGCCAUGCAGUUUAGACUCGUGCGGGCAAGGAGCUUUGGUUCGUGCAGUUUAGGCUCAUGCGAACAAGGAGCAUUGGUUCGUGCAGUUUAGGCUCGUGCGAACAAGGAGCAUUGGUGUUGCCUUUUAUGCUCGUGCAGACCAGGAGCUUUGUGCUAUGCAGUUUAGACUCGUGCGGGUGAGGAGAAUUUGUGAAUUUUGUCAAGCACUUUUGGAGAGGCGUUCCUUACAAUCUUCAUAGCAAGGAGCCUUGACCGAGUGAUUGAAGAAGUCUUCGGGAAAGAAGUCGCACAUCGUGAUGGCAACAGACGAUCUUUGUGUCGUAAUUUCAUCAUCUUCAACACGUUCACGUUGCUUUGAAGGUUGACAAGAGCUGCUUUGCCCCCUUUCCGAUUGGCGGACUUGUGGAGGAGACGUAUGCUUCUUGUGCCAUUUCUUAGGAGUGACUUGAGUCCAUCCUUCAAGUUUGCUUGUUUUGGAGGAUGCCCCCGGCGGUUGAGGUGAAAAUUUUGUGUUGAAAGAGCCAGAAGUGAUGGUGGUAUAGUUUGACUUCACCACAUCGUCAAGAUCUAGCUCGAUGAUUCCUUUCUGAGCCCACUUUAUGAUGAGAUCUUUCAGCACAAAGCACUUUUCUGUCGGAUGACUGAUGAAGCGGUGGAAUUUACAGUAUCUUGGACUGUUGGUACGAUUCAUCUCUUCCGGCCAUCUGCACUCAGGCAAACUGAUCACCUUCUUGUCCAACAGGUCAUCCAACAUGGCAACCACAUCAGAGUCAGGGAAUGGAUAAGUCUUCUCUUUAAGCUCCUUCAAAGUGCGUCUACGCAUCUCUUGAUCACGAAAAGCUUCGGUUUGAAUCGUUUUGCCUCGUGUGGAGAUUUUGACGGGAGAUGUGUUGACUGUCAUUGCUUCCUUGGUGGAUUUCCACGUAGCCUUCUCCACCUUUGUCUCAAGAAUUUUGUCGUUCUUGUAGUCGGCGAUCGGUUCCUUCUUCCCAUGAUGGGUGAUGCUCAACUCCAUGUCAUGGGCGUGGGUGGCCAAUUCCUCGAAGGUCCGUGGUUUAAUGCCUUGAAGGAUGUAUUGCAAACCUCAUUGCAUGCCUUGGAUGCACAUCUCGAUUGAAGAGGUCUCCGAGAGCCUAUCUUUGCAGUCGAGGCUUAGAGUGCGCCAUCUGUUGAUGUAGUCAAUGACCGGCUCAUCUUUCCAUUGCUUCAUACUUGUGAGCUCCAACAUGCUUACAGUGCGGCGGGUGUUGUAGAAGCGGUUGAGGAAUUCCCGCUCCAAUUGCUCCCAGCUGUUGAUGGACUCAGGCUCUAGGUCCGUGUACCACUCAAAUGCGUUUCUUUUCAGCGAGCGCAUAAACUGCUUGGCGAAGUAGUCCCCCUCCGUCCCCGCGUUGUUGCAAGUUUUGACGAAAUGUGCAACGUGCUGCUUUGGGUUUCCUUUUCCAUCAAACUGCAUGAACUUUGGUGGUUGAUAUCCCAUCGGCAUCUUUAGGGCAUCAAUCUUCUUUGAAUAAGGCUUUGAGUACAACCCGGAGGUAUUUGAGCUCCCUUCGUACUAUGCCUUGACGGUGCUGGCAAUCAUCUCUUGCAACUGUUGGAUAGAAAGAGAUCCCAUGAGUGCCGCUUCUUGGUCUGGCUCCGGCUUCACAUCGAUUUUCUCCACCGUAGGCUCAUCUUCUGGGUUAGGGUUCUCGCUGUCCUGUGGCUCCAGUUGACUGAUGAGUGCAGCGAUUUGCAAGUCUUUUUCUUCCACAGUUCGGGUUAGCCUUGCGAUUGCUUCAUUCAUUUGAGCCAGUUGUUCUUCGAUGGAGGUAACGCCGAUGGUCAUGACUUGUGCAACCAAUAGACGUGACUUUCCUUUAGACAUCCAAGAUGCUGAAGAAGAACGUCAUUGGUUGUUUUGGGAUGUCAUCUUGUGUGCCUCAGCAACAUGCUUUGGUGCCCCCAGCGAGGUCAGGUUGAUGACAGACUCACACCUUUGAUGCUCCCUUUGCUCUUUUAGCGGCACCAACUUUGAAGUGGCAUGUUAAGGAGCGGUUGUGGUGCUAAUGGAUUGUCCAUUUGCGGCAGAAGUGCUUAGGAUCCUUCCCUCAGUGAUUGCGAGAACGGCUUGUCCCUUGCUUGAUGCCAUUGAUUUUGAGGUGUGUUUGGAUUCCUUAAACGGAGAAAGAUAUGAGAGGUAGAGAUUGUCCCACCGGGCGUGCCAAUUUGUGAACACGAAAAUUUCCUGAAACGAAAGAGACAAGAACAACGUGCACAAAAUAAUAUUUUGGUGUUAAUGGAUUUGUUGGGUUACGAUCUCUUUUAACUUGAUCCUCUGAUUCGAUCUCCGUAAGGUGUUGAUUUAUGGAUGUUUCGUUGAUCUAAGGGCCGUCGAGGCUUGAUCUUGGAUGAACUGUUGGAAGUUUCUUCAAGGGGCCGUGGGCUUGAUCUUUGAAGGUGGAUUUGAGCGGAUCUUCAAGGAGCCGUUGGGGCUUGAUCUUGAGGAUGAGUGUUUCUUCAAGGGCCGUUAAGGCUUGAUCUUGAAUAACGGUGAUGAACGGAUCUUCAAGGGCUUUUGGGCUUGAUCUUGAAGAACGGUUGGAUGUGUGGAUUUGUUGAUGUUGUUGAUCCAAGGGCCGUCGGGGCUUGAUCUUGGAAGAACGAUGAACGAAGAACGAAGAACACUUUCUUCAAAGGCCGUCGGGGCUUGAUCUUGAAUUGGUGAUUGUUGAUCCAAGGGCCGUCGGGGCUUGAUCUUGGAAGAACGGUGAACGAAGAAUGAAGAACGAAGAACACUUUCUUCAAGGGCCGUCGGGGCUUGAUCUUGAAUUGGUGAUUGUUAAUCAAAGGGCCGUCGGGGCUUGAUCUUGGAAGAACGAUGAACGAAGAACGAAGAAGGCUUUCUUGAUUCUUCGGGAUGAACGGAUGAUGAACAAUGAACACUUUCUUCAAGGGCCAUCGGGGCUUGAUCUUGAAUUGGUGGAAGUUCUUCAGGGCCUUUGGGGCUUGAUCUUGAAGGUGGAUGAUUGUUGAUCCAAGGGCCGUCGGGGCUUGAUCUUGGGAUGAACAGUUGUGUGGAUUUGUUGAACACUUUCUUCAAGGGCCGUCGAUGCUUGAUCUUGAAUUGGUGGAAGUUCGUCAAGGGCCGUUGGGGCUUGAUCUUGAAGAAGGAUUUGACGAAGAACGAAGAGAGCUUUCUUGAUCCUUCGGAAUUUGCUUGAAUUUGGGAGGUUGGAUGCUUGAAAGCUUUAGAGUUUCAAAGCUUCAAGGAUUUUGGAUGUGUGGGGAGUAUUCUCUUACAUUUUGGGAGUAGAGAAAUGUAUUUGUGAAUUGGUUUUUGAUACCUUGAUGUAGAAGCCUAUUUAUAGGCUUUGAGAAUGAAUCACCACCACAAAAUAUUUUUUUCUUUUCCAAGCACCAUUGCCUAAUUUCCCACUUAAUACAAUUUUAAACUUGAAGUGGUAAUUUUAUGGCCUAAUUUUCCACUUAAUAUCAUUUUAAACUUGAUAUGUGCAUGCUUUGUCAUUGCCCAAAAUGAGAAGAAAACCUUGUUUUGAUCUUCAAUGGAUUGAAAUGUGCUUUGCCUUGUCAUUGCCCAAAAUGAGAAGAAAAACUUGUGUAAUCCUCCAAGGGUAUUUCUUUUUAUUUUGUUGAGUCACACACCAUGUGUACAAUUUGUAUGACACGUGGCAUAUGCCAUAUAUGCCUUGACACGUCAAAAUUUUAAUGCGUUGGUGAACAUUUAUUUCACCGCAAUUUCGAUGUCUACAAUUUCAUUUCUUGUGAAUAAUGUUUAUCCUGUGUUCUGUCCAAUCGCGUAUUAAAAAAUGUGUGAAGUUUGGAUUAACCACACUCUUUUAGAAUUUCCUUUAUUUACCACUUUUUGAGAAUUUCCAAUAAGACUGGGUGAGUCUCCGCUGAGAAUUUCCUCAACUAACACCACACUACUUGAGGGAUAAUUUGUUAUAUCUUUGAAUAAAGAAUAAAACAGUUUCCUACUUUUGAAGGUACUAUUAACUUACACUAUAUUUGGAUGAAGGUCAAACUUUAUAAAUUGACAUACACCAAAUUCUUUGUUUGGAUUCAUAAACAUAUAAAUUUAGAAUUUCCGCGUGGAAAAAAAAAAUACUUAGAAUUUGAGACCUCCAAUUCUCAAAUUGAAAGUUUAAAAAUAAUAAAUUCCGUAUUCAAUUCAAUUGUUCUUUUAGGUUAACCAAAUAAGAAAAUUCACAAAUUCUAAAAUAUAAAAUCUCAUCAUUUCAAUUUCCGUCAUUUUAAAAUUCCUUAGUAAUAUUAAAUUUCUUCAUCCAAACAUAGUGUUAAGAAAUUUUUUAAAGAUACACUAUUUACACUCAUUUUUAUUUCUUACACAUUUAUUAACUUUGUCCAUUGAUUUCUUCAAUUCAUUUUGCCAGUUAUACAAAAAUUGAGAACAGUAUUUAUGAAUUAAAAAUACAUUUGUAGAUGUCACUACCAAAUUUUUAUUCCUAAUUCAAGAAAAUCUUAUCCAUAUAUGAUUGCCCUUGCCCACUUUAAAUGGGUGCCAUCACUUUACGAUAGAGCAAUCCUAACCGUCCACCUAGGUAAGCAUAACUGGCGAUGCAUGUCGCAAGGGGACCGCAUUGCACAAUAUAAUUAUACUAGUUGAUAAGACAAGUGAUGUCAAUCAAUAAAUUAUUUCAUUAAAACUUAGUUGUAUGUAUCAUAUGUUGUAAUGUAGGGUGUAUGAUAUGCUGACGCUGUAAAAAAAUGUAACCUUUUUAAUAUUACUCAUAAUAGUAAGACUUACCAGUAUUAGGAUGUUAUCAGUGGAAUGAGAAUCCUCUCCAGAUCUUUUUUGUGAGCUAUUAUUUGUAUUUAAUUUUAAAUAUAAAAAAUUAAAAUAAUUUAUGACGGCAGUGAUUCACAUGAUCUUCACAAAGAGAAUCCAAAUAAUCUUAAUUUAUAUCAGUGUGUCUAGAUAACAUGAUCGAGCCCCUUUACUUUUACCCUAUUUAGUAUUUUACAUUUGAACCUGUAAAUAUUCGAUUUUUCUUUGGUGCAACCGAGCACCAAAUAUAGAUUUUUUUUCACUUUUAUAUAAUGAUAAAUAAAGGGCAAUUGGCAGAUUUGAAUUCCAUUCGGAUUGGUCAAAAAUCAUUUUAAAUUGUUUUAUUUAAAAUUAAACACAUAUAGUACUUAAUAAAAAUUAGUCGUACAAUAUACGAUAAACAGAUAUAAUGUAAGGACCUUUAUGAUCUUCACAAAAAAGAUCCAAAGGUUGUGUAGCUGUUUCAAAAGGAUAAUACUCACUUUUGAUUAGUUCAAUGAAAUUUUAAACAUGUUUUAUUGUUUUAAAAAAUAAUAAACAUAUUUAUUAAUGUUUGUUUUACUUUAAAAAAUAAGCAGCACUUGACAACAUUUGAUUGUGCUAAAUAAAAAAUGAGUGACCACUUAGUACUACAGUCUUAUGAUAUUUUUCUUCAUUUGAAAGUGAGAGGUUUUAAGUUCGAAUCUCGUGGAUGACGAAUUUGAUAUCAAAUUAGAUUGCUCACUAUGUGGCUUAGCCGAACUCUCAUUUCCUUUAAUGUAAAAAUAUUGAUGUAUUCAAAAAAAUAAAAAGUGACUAUAGAGGACACUCAAUCUCAGCUGUAUGAUUAAAUCAGACGGUAAGAAAAAUUCUGCAAGCAUACUCGGUUACAUUAAUUGAAGAAAAAAUGGGUAAAUAUUGGGCACCAACGUUAUAAAUACCCUCCACCAUGCACCCAACUCCCUCACACCAUCACAACCCACGUUACAAAUCCUCCUCCUCAUCAUAACCAUUCUGUUUUCCGCAUAAUAUCCAAAAACCUAUCAUGUCUGAAGAGAAACACCACCGCGGUCUCUUCCACCACCACAAGGAUGAAGACAAACCCUCAGACUACCCUCAGUCUGGCUACUCUGAUGAAGGACGUCCCGGCGGCCUCGGUGGUGGUUACGGCGACACCAAUGAUUAUUCUGGUGAAGGACGUACCGGCGGCCUAGGUGGUGGCUAUGGCGACACCAAUGCUUAUUCUGGUGAAGGACGUCCCGGCGGCUAUGGCGGCUAUAACGAGACCACUGCUUACUCUGAGGAAAGAGUUGAAAGACCCGGCGGUGGCCGGUACAGUGAGACUACUGCGGCAUAUGGCAGCACCACCACUCAUGAAUCUGAACUUGAUUACAAGAAGGAGGAGAAGCACCACAAGCAUCUCGAGCACCUCGGCGAGGCCGGUGUAGCUGCUGCCGGCGCUUUUGCCUUGGUACGUAUUGUAUUUUAACCCACCUCUAUAUAUAUAUAUAUUAGAAUAAUGCUAAUAAGACCAAAUUUUGAAAACUAAAUGAUGUGGUUGUUGAUAAUGAACUUAUUACUCAAGUCUUGAUUAACAUGCUUAUUUUCUAAUAGUGACACAUUAUUUGGUUUAGAAAUUUGGUCUUCCUAACUUUAUCAUUCUCAAAAUUUUCAUGAUUUUGAUAGGGUAAUACGGGAGAUCAAAAUUUCUAAACCAAAUUUGCAAACCAAUAGAUGAUUGGAUUAUUAAUUAAGUAUCGAUUGUUUGUUUCUUAUUAACGACAUAUCAUUUGAUUUACAAUUUAGUUAAAAAAAAUUUAUUCUUUCUGUCAUAUCCUUUUGAAUAUUUGAUCACUUUACUCUUUAUCACUUUACCCUUGAUCACUUUACCCAUACUCUUGCAACCGAAUCACCGUCCUCCUCCUUAACCUUCAUUUUUUUGUCUUACAGUACUCCAAUCUAUCAACUCUGUCCAUUGCAACUUUAAUUGUGAAGAAAAUUAAAGUCCUAUCGUAAAAUUAAUUAGUGAUAUGGAGAGUUGCGCAAUUAUUGAUGGACUAGGUAGGUAAGAUACGGAAUCAAAGUCUACCAUUAACAAUGGACGGAAUUGAUGAACCAUAUAGGUAUGUAAGAUACGGAAUCAAAGUCCUCAUGUAAAUGGUACAGUUGCAAUCAGGAGAAGAAAUGAGUUAACUGAUACCUUCGUAAUAGUUCAUGUAGAGUUUUGAUAUUAUUAAGCCUUAACCACCUGAUCUUAUAUAUACGAGGACAAAUCUAAUCAAAUAUGUGUUAAUUUCAAGGUUUGUUUUACAUUGAUGUGAGAUCGAUGCUAGCAAGAUAUAUAACUUAUGUCAGUUUCUAUAUGAUGUGUGUAGCAUGAGAAGCACAAUGAAAAGAAAGACCCAGAGCAUGCCCACAGGCACAAGAUAGAAGAGGAGAUUGCUGCAGCAGCUGCAGUUGGUUCGGGUGGAUUUGCCUUCCAUGAGCAUCAUGAGAAGAAAGAGACAAAGGAAGAAGAGGAAGAGGCUUAUGGAAAGAAGAAGCACCACCACUUCUAGAUCUAUGUGGAUUGUGGAACAUCAUCUUUUGACUACAUAUGCAAUGUUGUGUUUUUACUAGUUAUCAUGUGGUGUGAUCAGUGAGAGUGUGAUGCUUAAUCUCAACAAUAUCGCUACAAUAGUUGAGUGGUUAAAUGUCCUUUUCAAUUAAUGGGUGCUAUCUGGUUUUCUUUUAGCAUGCCAUCUAUGUAUGUAUGUAUGUAUGUAUGUCAUUGUUAUUGUUCAUAAUAAUACUGUUUACUCGGUGUUUAUUUCCUAGUGGCCACAUCUCAUUUUAAAUGAUUUCUUCAUACCAUUAAUUUUUUAAAUGUAAAGACUCAGUAUCCAUAUAACUACGAAAAUUUUUGACAAAACAAAAACAAGAAAAAAGAAAAGGAAAAAAUGGCUUAGCAAGUUUGUAUCCUAUAAGACAAAUGGGUACGUGGAACGAUGGACAUCUCACAAUGGUUUUUGAAUCGUCGGAUCAUCAUGGUUGGACUAUAUAAUUAUCAUUGAUAUAAUAUAAAUUUUGAUUUUUUUUUAGGAAAUUAAUAUCUGAAAACAAUAUUGAUGUACUGCAUUUGUUUUGGACGAUAUUAUACUUUAAUCCAAAUUUUGAGAAAAAAAAAACAUAUCGAACUCAGGUGUACAAGAGUGGCUUUGCUACCCAUGUACAGGGCUAGUUCUGAGUUUUUGGGUGCCCAGUGCGAAAGCUCAAAAUGUGACAUUUUUUAAUACGAAAACAUAUAUUAAAAAAAAUAUUUAAUGAGGGCUGGAACCCAGUCGAAGCUGGAGGGCUAGGACCUCACGCCCAAAUUAUAUUACUUGAGAAAAUAUACAACUGAGGAGGGGACAUGGUACCUAAACCCCGACAAUCAAAAGUACAAUCAUAUACAACCACUCCUAGCAAAUCUCCUUCAAAUUUCAACCUUUAAGAAAUUGUCUUCUGGCAUUUUUUGAAGCAAAAUCAUCAAUUAUAUCAUCAUACUCCAAGUCUUCAAUCUCAUCAUUUUCAAUGCAUAAGAUUGCUAAUCCAUUUAGCCUAUCUUGAGUCAUAGUGGUCCGCAAGUAAGAUUUUAAUAAUUUCAAUUUUGAAAAACUUCUUUUUGCAGAUGCCAUGGUCACAAGUACAGUUAACAGUACACGAUAAGCAAUCAAGACAUUAGGACACAUGUCAGUUUCUUUUACAAAAUUUGCUAUUUCCAUGGAUGUCCAAGGGUUAUUAGAGAGAAAUGCUUCUUCAGGUAAUAUCAUUUGCAAAACCUGCAAUUCGGAAUAUAAGUCAACUCCAUCUACAUCCAUGGUAUUUCCAUGUUUCAAAUGUGCUUCAAGAUUCAUACAAUUUUCUUUUAGCUCUUGAUCAUCCAAUGAAAUUAACUUUGGUGCAUCAAACAAGAAGCCAAAAAUAGAUUCAAAGGAUUUUAACUGUUCAAACUUGUGUUUCAGUUGAGAAAGAGCAAUAUCCACUAUAACAAGAAAAUAAUAUUUCCUAAAUGAUUCUUUAGCAGAUUAUUGUUCCCUCUCAUUACCAUCAACUUCAUCAUGAUGUCUUUUUCUAGGUCUAUGACAUUUAGUUUGAAAAAACAGGGUCAAUUUCCAAAUCAAGUGCAAUUUCAUUAGCAUCACUCAUGGCGGAAGCAAAACCAGUUUCUCUGUAGUUUCCAAAAAAUGUAACAAAUGCUUCAAAUGCCUUUACAGCAACAUCAAGACGCAUGUCUUUAGAUUGUAAUUUUAUGCUCACCAUGUUAAUCUUCAACAAAAUGUCAUACUAAAUAACCAAACUUAAUACAAAAUCAAAACUUGAAAGUUCGCCUGAUGCUAAACAUCUUGCAUCCCUACUUAAUUGAGGAUUUUCAGUAAUUUCCACCAAUUAAACAAAGCAUUUCUAACCUGGGCUACUUGAGACUUAAUUGCUUUAACAUUUUCAAUGUGACUUUCCCAUCGAGUAGUUGACAAUGACUUCAAAGUUAAACCAUCAAUAUGUUCAACCAAAAUAUUCCAACGCUUUGUAGAGUUGGAAAACACCAUAUAUAUGCAUUGACAUGCUCUAAAAAAAGAUUUUGCUUUAAGACAUGAACUUGCCAUAUCACAAACUAUUAAAUUAAGCUAAUGAAAACCACAUGGCAUGUAAAAGGCUAUGGGAUUUAUGUCUAACAAUCUUUUCUGGACAACUUGGUGUUUCCCUCUCAUGUUAGAUCCAUUAUCAUAACCCUGUCCCCUCAUAUCAUCAAUAUCAAGGUCUAAAAUAUCGAUAUUAUCCCGAUAUUUCUUUCGAAAUUUCUGUGUUUUUGGAUUACCGAUAUUUCCGAUAUCAUCGAUAUUUUAGACCUUGAUAGGAACUCUAUGUGAUACUAAGUCACUCAUGUAUCUUACCAUGCAAUGUAUAAAGUGUAAAAUAUUGUAUUAAUUCAUUAUAUAUAAAUGAUUAUGGUGUGUUUAACUUCUUUCAUUAAUUACUACAUAUUUUCUACACUCAAAAUGUUUGUCAGCUCACUAUAUAAUCAACUUAAAUAAGUUAAAUCCAUCAUGAAAUGCAUUUCGUUCCAAUUUUUUGUAAUAAACUAGUAGAUAAUUGACUAAAUAAACAUCCUGCAAAGUUUCAAUAAAAAUUUCCAAGUUUUUCUUAUAAUUUCCGUGGUUUUUAUUCAAUUUUUAUCGAUAUCGAUAAUAUCCCGAUAUUUCCAUCAAAAUUUCCGUAUUUUUGGACUAUCAAUAUUUUCGAUAUCAUUGAUAUUUUAGACCUUGAUCAAUAUCAAGAUCAAGAGAUUUUAGGACAUCUUGCAGCUCGUUAAAAAGCCCUUGUCCUAAUGUAUCUUUCACACUUAAAAACUCCAUGAAAUACUCCCUUAUAUUUAUUGACCUACUUGACAAGUCAACACAUCACAAAAUUAAAGUCAUCUGUUCCACAUGACUUGCAUUAGGAGUACAAUCAAGAAUGACAAAAAAAAAUUUGGCUUCUUUUACUUUUUUAAUGAUUGCGGUUUUGACUUUUGAAGCUAAAGUAGCUAUCAACUCAUUUUUGUUGGAAAUGUGCCCUAAAACCAAUCAUAUGAUGAUACUUUACGAACGUUUCACAUGUUAAACUAAUAUAGUUUAAUAUAAAGGGCAAAAAUUAUUGUUUGUAGCCGUCUCAUAUAAAUGUUAUACGCUUAAACGAUAAGUCCAAGGAAUAUGUAAUUGGGAGAAUGCGAUCUAAAGAAGUUAGAUUCAUGAGACCAUUCUCUUCCGUAUACAUAUCCUAAACGUUACUGAUCAUAGGAUUGUCAAUUGGGCAUUGAUAGUCUGUUAAGAUCAGUACGUGUUAUGUCUUCUCUUAAGGAGAGUGACUGGUCUCGAGUCAUUGGUGUGACUGACACCAAGACAAGCAUGUAGGUGCUCAAUAGAGAAUGAGUCCACUGAACACGAUCAACAAGGAGUUCUCAUACUCAUGUCACAUGAGAACUCGUGGUUGGAAUAAUGCAAAGUAGUCAUUUGACCUGAGGCAUCAUAGUUGUCUUGUGGUUAGGUCCUUGAUCUUUGACUAUGUCAAAGUCACUCCGUCAGAGGGUGUCCAUUGCAUAGUUGGGGUUAAGCCACUUAGCCAUGGAGGCAAGUGAAUGCACAAUAAGGGAUCUCUAACCUUCAAACUAUUUGAGGGAGAAUACUCUAUGAUAUGAUUAAGAAUCUCUGGCCAGAGUAUGAAUGAUAUUUAAGAAGUCGUUCCAAAUCACAUUCAAGGUAAUCAUAUAAGUAAGAGAAUCACAUUGGAUAGUAGACAUGAAUAAACUAUCAAACCAAACAAUGUGGUCAAGAGUAUUGUAUUAGAGUAAGACCGUAUUGCAUUGUAAUCCUAAACUAAAUAGGUUCUCCACCUCUUCUGAUCAGCUUGGGUAACCAUGACAUACUGCUAGGUGUUACUCAUGAUUUGUGGAAGCCCUAAACGUGUAUAAUCACUAAAGGGAGAAUUGAAAGUAAGUUUCAAUUUACAAUCGAUUUGAAAGAGUUCUAAUCGCUCACUGCCUCGCUAAAAGGAACCUAAUGGAUCGUACACCGUGUAAGGUAGAGAUUGAAAAAACAACGGAGAUAAGUAAGGACAAUUAAAUGGUUUAAUUGUUUAUGACAAGAAUUAAUUAAUAUGUUAAUUAAUCAAACGAAUAAGUUCGGGUUAAACCUUGAGUUAGUUUUGGGCAUUAAAGCCCAAAUUGGGCUUCGAAUCUUCAAACCCAUUAGCUUAAGUUGUAUGACAACUUAACAAACAAAAUUCAAGAAGCCCAAAACAGCCCAAAGGCUUGGGAAAACCAGCCAUAUAGAGAGGGGUAGUGAACUUGGCUUAAUUGCAAGUUUGCCAUUCCAUUGUGAGGUGGUAUAAAGGCAACUUUAUAGCCAUUUCAUCCUUAGGGUUUCUUUUGGAGAAAAGAUGAGAACACAAGCUCCCUUUUCUCUCUAAGAGGCUGGCCACCCUAGAGGAUUUUAGCUAGCAAUCUUACUUCCUCUAGGUCACUCAUCUCUUCUUCAAGUCAUUCCUUGGUGUGGAGACUUAGAGGUUCCUUUCAACCAUCUUCAUCCAAGAAAUCCAUGGAGCUAAGAAGCAAGGAAUGAAGGCCCUCGCCUUGGGUGAUUAGCCUUUGCUUAUGCAAAGAGGAAUCAACAAAGGUAUAAAAUUUCUCAACUCACUUUGUUCUUGAGUUGAGUCUUGGUUCACAUAACUACUAGGCUUUGAAUUUCAUGGGUAAUGUUUUGUUUUGAGUGCAUACAAGCAUGAUUCCGCCUUUAAUUGUUAAUUGCAUGCCAUAGAUGUUGCUCAAAUGAACAUGUUUCUCACAAAAUUUCCUUCAAUUUUGAAUUUUAUGGCUCAAAUAGUGAUGAUGAAUCUCUUUAUUCUCAAUAAGUCGAAAAUGCUAUUGCAUUAUUGGAUCAAACUCCGCAUUCAUUUCAAGUAAACCUAAGAAGUUGCCAUUAGAGUCUUCAUAAAGUCUUUCAUUUGUUCCACGAAAUGCUAAAUUACGUAUGGCAAGACAUUUCAUAACAUCAAUAAUUCUAAGCAUCACUUGUUUCCAAUGAUUUGGCUCUUUCUUGAUUUGCAUUUGAAAUUCUUUGUCAAUUGUCUGAUUUUUUGUCAAUCUACUUUUCAACUCAACCCAAGUUCUCGAAUUAAUGAGAUGCUCUUUACUCUUUUCAUAUUGGUCAAGCUUCUUACCAAGAUGUCUCCAAUCACUAGUUCCAUCUUUUGCUAACUCACUUUUUGAGGCAAUUAUUUUAAACAAUUUACAACAAAAGCAAAAGACUUUAUCCAACUCUUUUGAGUACACGAGCCAUUUCCUAUCGUAAAUUUUACCCGUUCGUAAUUUUCGAUCAUAGUAGUGUGAGGAAAAUUUUCUAGAGAAUUUGUCCUUAGGAUAAGUGAAUUAGUUUCUCAAAUUGGUCCUUUUUCUACAAGUAAGUCUCUCAUUUUUGCAUUAAGACCAUCCCAAACUAUUGGAUCAUAAAUGUCUAAAUGAAAAAUAGGUUCAAGAGAUUCAAUAUUUUCUUCUACACCAAAAUGAUCAUCAUCAACAUUUAAAUCCACAUCACCACCAUUUUCAUGAUCUUGAGACUCAUCACCAACAUUUUCCUCUAAAUCACCACAAUUUUCUUGGUCAUGAGACUCGUCAUUAACAUCUUUCUCCACAUAACCACAAAUUUCAUCAUCAUGAGACUCCCCAACAAUAUUUUGUGACUCUUCACCAACAUCAUUUUCUCUCAAAUUUUCAACCGACUCAUUCUUUAUAGAAUUUUUUUUAUUAAGAGAUCCUCUUAAACUUUAGGCAAUUUCGUUAUCCUUUGCCUUUUUUUUCCUUUUCAUAUUACUAGAGAGUUAUUUUCUAAAAGACAUGGCUUUGAUAAUUUGUUUGCAAAAAUUACCUACAUAUGAUAUAACAAAAAUUUCCUAUUAAAAUUAUCAUCAACAAUUCAAAAAUUACCUACACAUGAUAAUCAAGAAUUCAAUUCAUCAACAACAACAAUUCUAUACAUCAAUUAUCAUAUAAUUCUGUCACUUGCAAAAUUUAUAUUAAAUUAUGAAUUAAUAAUUCAAAUUAAAAAAUUAGUUUACCUCAAAACUCAAAAGGGUUGUUGAAUGCAAGGACUUGUGGGCCUGUGGCUGUCGGGUUUGGAAGCUGUAGCCUGCAGCAGCGCAACAAAUUAUCAGACGGUAAGGGCUAGGGCAGUGGGGUAACAAUGGGGUGGGGAAUCGGGAAAAAGGGGAACUUAGGGUUAAUUGGGGGGGGGGGGGGCGGGGACGAGUGGUCCCCUUGUGUUGUUAUUUUUUAUUUUUUUAAUGGCCAAAACCUGGGCUGGUCUUUUUUUUUUAAUUUUUUUAUUAUUUAUAAAUGCCCAAAACCUGGGCCGUUCCCUUCAUUUUCAAACUUGGGCCUCUUGCCCUCUAGUUCUUAUUUUGGGCUCUGGACAAAUUUUUUUUAUACCUAAUUAUUUGGACUUUUUUUUUGGUGCCCCUUUCAAUUUUGGGCCUUGGAAUGGCCCUGGUUGCACUGGGCCUGGGCCGGGCCUGCCCAUGUAUAUGUUAUCUUGUGAUUUGACAAGUCAUAUGUAUAUCAUAUCAAUUUUAUCUCAAUUGUGGUGAUGGUACAUAAUACUUACUACAUCGUAUGGCAACAAAUAAAUAUGGGCAUAAAGAUAAAUAGAAUGGUAUCAGUAAAUUAAGGUCUUCACAUUACGAUUAUAUUUAUCUCUAUUUUUAGUGGAAAGUUUUAAGGAUAAUUUUUUUUCUGCCUCCUACAUGGGUCUCGAUUCUCCUCUACGGUAAAAAUCCGUAUGUUUUAAAUAUUGAAAAGUUAAUUUAGCCCAAAUCCUUGCCUAUUUUAGGGAAAAUAAAAAAAAUUCAUUUUUAACCCUUUGAUUACUUAUAUCACCUAGUAUAACCUUUUUUUUUGUGUGAUACAAACAAAUAUUUUUGUUUGGGCCCAAAAUAUUAUUUUAGGCUGAGCUUAGGUCAUUCUCGGCCUAGUGGCAUUCAUUUAGAAUUUUGUUAUGGGCCGUCCAGUUAAGGUCAGCCGAAUCCUAUUAUGAAAAGGUUUGGUUUGGAUAAGGGUGAGUUGGUCGAUACUAGUGCAACAAGGAUUCUGAAGACUAAGGACAUUGAGAAUUAAAGGGUGAAUUUGGUUUGUUAAGAAGCUUGGUUCAAAGUCCUACAGGAAUUAGGAUUGGUUGAAACCUGAUCGGAUUGGGUUGAGGAGUUCUAAUCCUAGUCCAUUUCUAGUUCGGCUAUGAGGGGAUUCAUUAUUAUAAAUAGAGAAGGGAGUGCAUCAUUCAAAGCCCCUCCAAUUCAACACACAAAUUGCCUUGUGCAAAGCUUCUCAACAACCUUUGAGAUUUUAUCCACUUCCUCUUUCUUUUGCCAACACAUCUUCAGUUUGGAUAAAUAGCACUGUGAAGGCAACCGUCGACAUCUUCAGUUUGGAUAGACUGCACUAGAGCCGUAAAAUUAGCCGACCAAGGAGCACCUUUAGUUUGGAUGGACAACACUGCUUUGAGGCCGACUGGCUAUUUAUUCAAGUCUCGGCUGAGAAGGAUUUUCAAAUCCUUGUUGGUAGAGGUCAUCUCGUCAGCCUUCUCGGCAAAGUGAGGUGUUACAGGUUUCUGGGCUCGGCACAUUGAACGUUGAGUUUUGUUUUAUGAUUAGAUACUCACAAGUAAGUUUUAGAGUUUGGCAUUCCGAUGGCCGAAUCACAUUUACAAUCAAGAUAUAUAUUUCUUUCGAGUAUUUGUGUCUGUAUAGUUUGGUACCAGUUCGGCAUGCUUAUACUCUCACGAAUAUAAUCACUAUGAUCGAACCUGAUGCCGAUGAUUUGUGAACUUCAUAGAACUAGCAACCUUGUCUUCAGGCAUUAUAAUCCAAAGGCCGAGACAUGUUCCUUCAUCGAUCGCAGUCGUAAGAUCGAGAAGUCAGCAGCGCGCCCAACGAGACAUCAACACAUUCUAUUCCUCGACCGAGUUGGCACGCCCUGCACAUAACUGAAGGACGUAGUUAGCUUAUUAGUUACUCAGCCUAUGCGUCACGUAGGCUUCAUAGUUUUUAGUGUCAACAUUUUGGCAUGCCCAGUGGAACCCAGUGUUAAAGCUACGAAGUUCAUGACCAUUGAGACACGGUCAGUAAAAAAGAAACCAGUAAUGGGAAAGUUGACAACUAAUCUUCCAGUCUAAAACUCAUGACAAGAUGGGUUGUUAUAGACACAGAUUCAUGCUGCUGCCAUGACACCUGAAGCCACAAGUGCGACAUGCCGAGAAAAGGAAGUGAAUCUUGGCAAUCAGCCUUGUGGUGCAGAAAUCCCCACCAAAACGACAAAAGGCAUUUUUGUUGAAGGAAUAGUGGAUGAUUAUGACGAGGACGGUGGUAAGGCCUCUGAUCCACCAACCAGGUCGUUUUUUCGACGACGACUUGAAGAGUAAUCUUGACAACUUGAGCAGAUGUUCAGCCGAGAGAUAAAAAAACAUAUUUAAAGAAAUGCGUGAUAAUAUCGCUGUACAUAAUUUAUUGCUCGAAGUUCUGGUUAGUAAAGUCCAUGACAUUGGACCCACCAAUCGAUCCAGGCAUCAUUUUUUCAGGAAUAACCCACUACCAAUAGUACAGGUCGAGACAUAAUCCACUUGGCUCAAAAUGAUUAACUUACAGAAAAGUGGUGGGUUAAUCAGCAGAUCAAACGGAUUCGACCAGAGAGCGGAAACGACAUAUGUUGAUAUGGUUGAAGUUUAGAGAAUGAUUGAUUCGGCCUUGAAAAAUGGGCCAAAGUUUCCAAAAUUCAUUCACCCAUAUCCUGCCUUUGUAGAAAAGUUUGAGUACCCAAAGGGGUUCAAGAUCUCUGACUUCAGCCUUUUCGUUGAAGAGUCGUCCCUAUUGUCAUUAAACACGUGGCUCAAUUCACUGCUCAAUGUGGGGACGUUAACAGUGAUUUCCAUAAGCUACGAUUGUUCAAUUUCUCGUUAACCAGCUCAGCAUUCGCAUAUUAUAUCAACCUCUCACCCAACUCUAUCCAAAGUCAGGAGGAACUGGUCGAGAAAUUUCAUGAGCAAUUCUAUCGACUGGGGAUGGACGUAUUAGUAUCUUCUUGGGCUAGGAUGGCUCAAGCCUCUGAUGAGUCACCAAUGGAAUACUUUACAAGGUUUAAGUUGGCCAGAAAUUGGUGUCGAGUACCUCUUCCUGAAGUCGAGUAGGCUUGCCCUGAAUGGCUUAGACGUGGAGUACAAGAAGAAAUUCUUAAGGGCAUACUUUCGAGAUAUGUACGAAUUGGCUCAGCAUGUCGAGCAAUAUGAUUAUUUUCUCUGAGAGGAAAAGAUCUCGAAGUUUUCAUCCCGAGGAACGAUCUACAAGAACUUUACGGUUAGCUAUGCAUCGGCCAAAGGCGAGGAGUCCCAAUAUGCUAGUAUAGACGUGGCCAAGAUAUUAAUCGACAAACUGUACAUAUGUAAAACAUUGGCUCAUGCUACCUGUUCAGCCUUUGAGGAAGCUGCCGUCAAAACGUUAAAAGUCUAUACUUUCGACAUCACUAAGGCUGAUGCCAUCUUUGACCAGUUAUUGCUUGCAAAAAUUGUCAAGCUUCAGCCAGGGCAUAAUAUUCCAAAGGUCAAGGACUUAAAAGGAAAGACAUAUUACAAAUACCACAACUCGAACAAGCAUACGACAAACAACUGUGUCGUAUUUCGCGAUGCCAUUCGAAACUGGAUAGAUAACGGUAAGCUUAAAUUUCCUGAGAAACCAAUGGUCAUUGACACCAAUCCUUUCCCUAUGACAACGGUAAGCAUGGUAGAUGCUCACCUACACAAGGAUAAGAGAAAAGGAAAAGCCGAGUUCAUCCCAACGCAAUACGUCCCUAAGCAGAAUUCUCGAUCACAAUUGAAAGUCAAUCUAUCCUUGGGUGAGCCACCCAGAUACUUUUCAAACCCAACUAAUACCGAGUCAAUAUCAAACUCCAGCACGGGAGAAAGUGACAUGCCAAUGGUUUUAUGCAGUUGGUGUAAAUCAAACGUCAUCAUAACUAAGCUGAAGGAAAAGCCACUUCGGACUGAAGCACCACUAACGCCUGUAGUUGUAGCAACACCUCAAAAAGUGCUUGGUACAGACCAACACCAUAAAGUUUUUGAUAGGCUCAGCCCUCAAACACGGAAUGACGGCCCGUCUUCGGCCCGAUAAUGACUUAAUUUCGACGUUUCGUUUUAUAAUGAAGAGUAUUAUGUGUGCAACUCCAGCAACUCGAGUUCAUCCGCGAACCAAAGAAACUUCAAGUCACCUGAGCCAUGCGACUAGUGUUGGUAUACCUACAAUUCCCUACCGAUGUAUAUAUUGCAUUGUCCAAAUCGUAGAAACAUCAGCGCCAAAUAAUGGACUAUAUGGCUCGCCAAUGAGCAGCCCAGACUACCUCGGUCACCAAGUGGCAACUGAAAGAAACGGUAGAUAACGAAGAUGAUUGACAACCUUCGGCCAUCAUGGUUGAGUUGCUUCAAGGAAAGAAAGUGAUCGAUCGUGACUUUGAAACCAUGAUUGAAGAAUCUGAAAAGUGAAUCAAACUCUUUCUUCGGCCUAGGGAGAUGAAAGCUUGCCUCGAGCACUUUCGGAAAGAAGUUGAAAACAAACUUCCUUUACUACCCUCGCAAGAGCCAUUAAUUAAAGUUCGAAGGAAUCUUCACCCGCCAUUUCUUAACAAAGCUUUAGAAUACAUGCAAGAGUUCCAUAUAAAAACAUUCAGCUAAUGGUUAAUAUUGCAUGCCAAAAGCAUGCCAAGAGGCUCUUGAUCUAGUAUUAACUUGCCCCGAUGCCGAACAAAUCAUCCAAAAGACCAUGGAUCAGAGGAUGAAGGCUAGAAUCCAGCAUAUACUCGAGGCUUGAGUUCUCUACUUUGAGGUAGACCCAUAUACUGAUAUCGAUCCAACCGACCUUCCUUUCUCCCUUAAGGACCUCCAAUAUUUACUGUAUCAUUUUGAAAUUUUCUCGGCAGUUGCCCUCUUUAAUCUUACGACUGAUGAGAAAGAACGUAUGGCGUGAUUAGAUGCUUACUUAGACACAAGAGACGCCCGCAUCGUAUAUCAGGAGCGGACUCACAAGGCUUCACAAGAGCAACACCAAGUCCCCACGUUGAGCGAGCCUAAAGUUGAUGGUCAGAACGAAAUGGGUUUGGUGGAUGCACUGUAGGGACGGGUUCUCUUAGCUGCCGGAGAGGAUCAGCCAGAUAAUGCCCAUAAGCAAAAUACUUCGCCUGAAAAUCUAGAAGACAAAGAUCACGACCCAAUGGGUUCUUCGGUCCUUGAUAACACGGAAAUCAACAUGGUCCAUGUCUUACCUGCCGAGUUCUAGCUAAUUACAUCUCAACCAAACUUUAUGGACGACGUCAAAGUCGCCGAGGAAGCCGCACAAGUCGAUUUUUUGGCCACCGAAGAGAUCGAGCAAGUAAGCAAAGAAGAUAAACUUAAGGCAGCUCUUGCCAAUUUGUUCCCCCGCUAUUCGUCAGUUAAUUUUCAUCAUUUAAAGCCAUUGUAUGUUAUAGCUCGUAUUGAAGGAUAUCUGGUUUCUAAAAUUUUUGUCGACUACGAAGCAACGGUCAACAUCAUGCCCGUUUCUAUCAUGAAGGCAUUACGUCGCUUUAGCAACGAACUCAUUCCAUUAGGGGUAACCAUGAGCAGCUUUGUCGAUGACAAGUCCUAAACCAAAGGAGUGCUUCUUUUAGAGGUAAAUAUCGCAUGUCGCAAUCACAUGACCGAGUUUCUCAUAGUUGAUUUAAAGACUGAGUAUAAUUCCUUGCUUGGUUGUGAUUGGAUCCACCAAACAAGCUGUAUCCCUUCGUCAUUAUAUCAAGUCUCAUCUUUUGGGAUGACAAAUCAGUCGUGGUUCAUCCAGCCAACAAUCAGUUGUUUGAAGCUAAUAUAAUUUAGGCUCGUUAUUACAAUGAUCACAUCGGCUACAUCACCAUAUAAGGUUUUAAAGGGGAAGGACGGCCAACUUGAAUCUUAAUUUAGAAAGCCAUUGAGGUUGGAAAACAUUGUGACAAGAUUCGGCGUACCAAAAAUAAUUAUAACAGAUAACGGCAUAAUUUUUACAGCCGACAAGUUUAAAGAAUACGCAGCGAGUCUAAAAAUUCAGCUCAAUUAGUCCACGCCAUAUUACCCAUAAUCAAAUGGACAGAUCGGAGCAAGUAAUAAAGUUUUAAUCGGUAUACUUGACAAAAUGAUAAAAGAAAAGCCUGGUAUGUGGCAUUUGAAGUUAAACGAGGCAUUAUGGGCAUAUCGAACUUCACUCUGAUCAGCAACAGGGAUGACCCCAUAUGCGUUGACUUAUGGGCACGACGCGAUGCUACCGGUCGAGCUAAGCAUAAACUCGUUAUGAGUUAUCGAACAAAGUAGUUUAUUCAGUGCCGAGUACAGUCAGGCCAUGAGGUAAGAGUUGGAGGACUUGGAGGAAGCUCGGCUCGAUGCCUAUAACUUACUGGUGGUGCAUAAAAAGAUUACCGAACGAGCUUAUAAUCGAUGAGUUAGGCAAAAGACGUUCGGUGAAGGUGAAUUAGUAUGGCAAACCAUGUUACCAGUAGGGAUUAAAGACCUUAGAUUUGGGAAAUGGUUGCUGAAUUGGGAAGGACCAUUCGUCAUCCACAAGGUUCUUGGCAAGGGGGAAUACCACUUGAAAAAGUAUUAUUCGAUUACUUGGGAAAUGCAAGAAUAAAGAAUUUAUUUCAUUGAUUUUCAAAGGACAUUUACAAGCAAAAUUACAAAGAGUCGAUCGGCCUACAACUACAACUAAAGACAAAAGUCCUAAAGAGUCGAAGGAAGAAAAGCUUCAAAAGUGGCUUUCAGUUCUAGCCAUCUUACUUCGCCCAUCGUGACCUCAGCCUGUCUUGUUCUUUUGUCAAGUUGUAGUUGAUGUAUCUGCUUCGAGCUAGCUGCAUACUCUGCCAGUCGAGGUUUAUUCGAAUUGAAAUCUAUUUCAAGCUCGGAAGCAACGGCUGACCUUUGACGUGGAAGUUUAGUGAUUUGGCGGUCAAGAUCGGCCAGCCGCUCACUCUUUGCUUUUAUGGCCUCGAGCUCUGGUCGGAUAGCUUCAUGAACGACCAUUGAAGCCUUGAGGUCAUCUUCUGCCUAAAGAGCCCCAUCAAAAAUAGCGAAGUAUUGUCGGGUUCGUUUUAGGAUAUAAGAUAGGUGAACGACAUUCUCAUUGCUUAGAAUGCCAUCGUUUACAAGGUCGUUCAUACAUUCUUCUAUAGAAUCGAGGCCUUUGUAUUCAAGGAUUUGCAUGGCUGAGAUAGACAAAAGCUCAUGCAGCUUGGCGAAGACACUGGACACGGCCGCGAUUGCAAAAGACUAGAUCGCGGUUGUUGAAGGCCUAGUCACCCCAGAAGUGUUUGAGAGGAGGGUGUCAAGCUUGACUUUCCAUGAAGGCUGCAUAAAAAGAGUUGUUAGAAAAGAGAAGUUAAAAGGACGGUAGAUAAGGACGUUGUGUUAGACCUACCGAGAAAAGACUUCGGCCAUGUCUGUUGGUUCGUUACUCGAACCGAGAGAGCUUAAUGGCCGAGCCUAGUGUUUAAGGCAACCUUUUAAUUCAUGUGGCCGAUAAAGGUUAUCUAUGUUUGAUGGCUAUUGGGAUGGCCAAGAAAUAUAAAUAACGCCAUUUGGCGCAUAGAAUUUUUGGAGAAAUGAGUAAUUAGGCACCUGGCAGUUAAUAUUUUCUUGGUUUAGAAUUCUAAAGCAAAAAAUUAAUAAAAGAAAAUGAUGACGAGUCUUACAAAGGUCGAAGUAACCUCCUGAAGAGGAAUGUCGAAAUUCUGGUCUUGAGGAUGAACCAACGUCUUUACCAUUGCUUCUGCCUCGACAGGAGGCACCGCUUCAUGUCCUGCACCUAUUUCAGUUGCAAAAGUGUCGACCUGGCCAGCCAUCUCAACUAUCGGUUGAGGAUUGGUGGUUGGUAGUUCAGCUGGUUGAGAGCGCCUCACCAACGGGGGUACUUCAUUCUCGUCAUCCUAUACAUAAAAGAGGAUUGGUCGUUAGUUGAGAGAUAUAGUCAAAAUAAAAGGAGAACAUUAGUAAAAAUGGUCAUACCUAUUCUUCCACAAUGAUUAUUGGAGUCUUCUUUAGAUUUGGCGGAGGGUUUCUCUCGGCUGUGGUGGCCUCAUUCUCCAAAGCAGUAGCUGCCACGCUAACACCAAGAAUAACGGCCGGCCUCGGGGUUGGAAAACCCUUGACUAAUGGGUUGAUGAUGGGUUCAACAACAGCCAGCAUAAUGGGUUGGAUCUUAGUUGAUUGAUCUGUCAGAGGAUUUUGCGGUACUCCAAUCGAGGCCUGGACGACAUGAGAAUGGAGAAGGGCACUAGGAGUGGUUGUUCCCGUGGUUUGACUCGAAAUGACAUAUAUCUCCCGUUCUUCAUUCUUUUCCUUUUUCUUGAGGCACUUUUGGGACCGGGCAAUGUUGCCAGUCGUCUCGACCUUUGGGCGAGGCCGUUUGCUCGGUGCGGUCGGUGCAAUAGGGGCUGCUGCAGAAGUUGGUUUGACUGAAGGAUGAGCGAGUUUCUUUUUAGUCGCGACCAUCGUAACCACAUUGACUCGUUUUAUGGCACGACCACUUGGAAAAACUGAGUUUAAGUCAGAACGAUGUUCAAAUUGAAUAAACAAACAAGGGAAGUAAAAGAUAUAUACCUUUAGUUGUUUCUUUGGAUUUUGGGACGAGUCUUCCUCGGUCGGUCGUCGAAAAGCUUCUUUGAAAUUUCCUCGACUGAAGUACUGAAGAAGUCCUUGACGUAAGCAUCUCACCAAUCGGCGAAGAUGCUAAUGCAAUGGGUUUUUGGGGUAAUCAGCCGAAGAUAGAAAUUGGUGCAUCGCUCUAAGAAUUCCCUCUCGGAUUCAUCACAUUCCCUUUAUGAGGAGCUGAAGAGGCGUUCUCGGCUCAAGGGUGAGCGGGAAGUGAGGAGUGGCAUAGGAUAGGCCUGGACAUAGCUCAGUGGAUAGGCCAUGAAGUCAGGAUGGCAAAUCUCCUAGCUGGCCCAUCGAGCAUCACAACCAAAUGGAAUGUCACGAGCUAGAACAAAUGAUCCAUAUGAUUGUCGGAGAUCAGCGUCUUCUGCUUCUUCCCACACCAAUGUAGGGAGCCUGAUGGAAGACAAAUAUUUCUGGCGGUGGCAGACCAGAAACUCGUCGUUCAACAAGUCUUCAAGGUCGAAGAAGUACUUGAAGACAUCUUCGGCCAAUGGGCAGGAGUAGGGUGUGAGGACAGUUGAAGGCUCAUUGCUUUGGAAGAAUUGAAGUGUAGGAUUUUUGGCCUCAAUGUGUAGAAGUAAACCUGCAACCAUAGUUGAAAGACUCAAAGUGGGCCGUUCUGGUGUGGGUUGAUUUUCCCGACGGAAACCUCAGCCAAGCAUCGAGAAAGGUUGGCAAUGAUGGUCGAGCUGAAGGGCAGGACGUGGCCACUAGCUAGCGCUUCAGCCACUAGCACAUUCUUGGCCAGGCACUUGUACGACUUGGUACAAAAGAUGAACUUAUUGUACUACUAGAACGAGAAGGUCUCGUGUUCCCCCUUCUUGAGAGCUUCCCCCUCCGAGCCAGCGAAGUGGGUGAUCAGGGUGCUAUAAUUGAAGAAGUUCUUGUGCAGCUUAUAUACAUCUUUUUUUCAACGGCUCCUGACCAUCCUUCAUCAAAGCUUCGACGACAUGUUCGUCAAAGACCGCCUUUAGAUCUAGGUCGAAUUGAUAUCGAAAAAGGGUGGUAUCAACUGAAAGACCAGAAAGGGGAGUGCCAAGUAUAGCCGUGACAUCCAGCAUUGUUGGGCCAAUGGGGCCAAGAGGAAGGACCAUAAUGUUGGUGGCCAAACACUAGAAACUCAGGGUGGCCAUUAGGAGUUCUCGAUCCAUGUUGAUCUCAAUGGUUGAUAGCUUAAUGGCAUCAAAGUUACUGAGAAUCUUCCAAUCGCCCCUGAAGUGUGGCUCCAUCCGGGUAGGGGUGGGUACUUGGAAUCAAAAAUCAAAACCGAAACACGAAUCGAAUCAGACCGCACCGAACAGUUUGGUUUUGUGAUUUUGAAACGGUUACGGUUUCAAAACCAAACCGCAGCAAAGAAAACGAUUUGGUUUCGGUUUUGGGGUUUCAAAACCGCACCGAAACCAAAACCGAAAUCGAAACCGCACCAUAUAUUGAAUAUUGAAUGUUAUGUUUUAAUCUAUUGUUUUGUGCAGCUCCAAUCUGAGUUUUUCAUGGCAGUAGGGCUCCCAGGCUCACAUUGCUCUCAUAAUCACUUUGCUUGUUAUGUGUAGCCCCAUUGCAGUAAAUUUUAAUACCGCGGGGCUCCUAUACAAUCUGUGAUACAAACCAACAUGAUAUUCUUAAAUUAGUAAUAAAAUUGACAACGAAUUUUUCUUACUUUGAUGAGAUAUGUAUGAAAUAUUCUGGGAAAAAAUGUACAUGCUAACUCUUGGAUAAUAACUACAAUGAGCGAUGGAAAAUACAUCCAUUUGUAUGCCAUUUAUUACCAAGGAAGUUGCAGAUAAUCGAGGCUAACAUUCUCAAGAGAAUGCUAAGUUGGUAACACAACAGGAAGUAGGUGGGAAAGAAAUACUUACCAGCUAGAGUAAGUCCCUAGGUGGACAAGGCAUAGAAUAAAUUGUACAUUUUUUUUCUCAAAAACCAAACCAAAACCGUUUGAAACCACACCGAACUGAACCAAACGGUUUGGUUUCAUUUUGGUUUUGGCUUCAAAACCGCACCGAACUGCACCGCAAAGAGUUUCGGUUUCGGUUGCGGUUUCACUUGAAACCGCACCGAACCGUACCGUGCCCACCCUUACAUCCGAGUGACCCAAGCAGCCCAGACCGUGAGGGUUGAUGGCCAACUCCCUAGGGUUUGGUCAAUUCCCACUUCGACCAAUCGUAUCCUUGAAAUAGGGGUUCAAGGCAAUGCGUCUUCAACAUCUUGGUGAUUGAUUCUGGGAUGUUUUCCUUGAAAAGUGGUCCCAGAGUUUGGUGGAAAACACUUGAAUCAUCCUCACACCGGAGGGAUUCGAUGGCAUUCUGGUUAAUAAAGUCUCAACAGUUGUCGCAUUCCUCGGCGAGCUUGGUGAUAUGUUAGAGGUUUAUUUUGCUUCUUCAAGGUUGACGCUCAGCUUAGAUUUGUAGGCCGAAUACCUUAGAAGCGAGGGGGCAAUGUUUGGGCCCAAAAUAUUAUUUUGGGCCGAGCUUAGGUCAUUCUCGGCCUAAUGGCAUUCAUUUAGAAUCUUGUUAUGGGCCAUCUAGUUAAGGUCAGCCGAAUCCUAUUACGAAAAGGUUUGGUUUGGAUAAGGGUGAGUUGGUUGAAUCCUAGUGCAACAAAGAUUCUUAAAGCUAAGGACACUGAGAAUUAGGGGGUGAAUCUGGUUUGUUAAGAAGCUUGGUUCAAAGCCUACAGGAAUUAAGAUUGGUUGAAACUUGAUCGGAUUGGGUUGAGGAGUUCUAAUCCUAGUCCAUUUCUAGUUUGGCCAUGAGAGGAUUCGCUAUUAUAAAUAGAGGAGAUAGUGCAUCAUUCAAAGCUCCUCCAAUUCAACACACAAAUUGCCUUGUGCAAAGCUUCUCAACAACCUUUGAGAUUUUAUCCCCUUCCCCUUUCUUUUACCAACACAUCUUCAGUUUGGAUAAACAGUACUGUGAAGGCAACCGAUGACAUCUUCAGUUUGGAUAGACAACACUGUAGCCGUAUAAUUAGCCGACCGAGGAGCACUUUCAGUUUGGAUAGACAACACUGCUUCGAAGCCGACUGGUAAUUUAUCCAAGUCUCGGCUGAUAAGGAUUUUCGAAACCUUGUUAGCAGAGGUCAUCUCAUUAGCCUUCUCGGCGAAGUAAGGUGUUACAUGUUUCUAGGCUUGGCACAUUGAACGUCGAGUUUUGUUUUAUGAUUGGAUACUCGUAAGUAAGUUUCAGAGUUCAGCAUUCCGAUAGCCGAACCACAUUUAAAAUCAAGACAUAUAUUUCUUUCGAGUGGGCAUGCCCCACGCAUAACUAAAGGACGUAGUUAGCUUAUUAGUUACUCGGCCUGCGCGCCACGUAAACUUGAUAGUUUUUAGGGUCAACAACUUUCAUUUUUUCAUUCCCAACCUACCCUGAAUUUAAAAAUGGAUAGAAACAUAAUUUUUAGGCCAACUUUUACUUAAUUUGUUGCUCUUUGCUUUGCCACUUUUAUGCCAAGUUCUUCUUCUUCUUUUUUGUCGAUAUGCUAAGUUCUUCUUCUUCAUCUUCGUCACUUUUUAUUCUUCCAUUUGUUCGUGUUAUACUUCUAUCUUAUAUGUUGGAAUAAAUUAUGUUGAAACUAAAUUCACGCAGUGCCAUAGAAGGUAAAGACACACAAAUUCGAGUAAUCUGUAAAAGAACAAACAACCAUGAGCUAACAAAAAACUAGGGGUGUGCCAGUCAAAGGCUCUCCGAUGGUCAAGUUAGUAAGCAAUAUAAAAUUAAAGAAGUAGACAAGAAAGUAAGUAUGCGAUAAUUGUGUUACCAGAGAAAAUCCUAGAAUGAUGUAUUUAUACUAGUUGAGGAUGGGAUGUUUUAGAAUAGUAGAAUUUGUAUUAAAUCGGGAGAAUCCUAGAGGAUAUCUAGAGAUAGAUAUUGCAUCCUCUUAGGAGUGUGAUUACUUACCGCACACGUCAAUCUUUUGAUUGUAAGGACUCCAAGAUUAAUUAUAAGAAACUUGCUGAUUUCUUGCUGGAUUUUGUUUCCAUAUCUUAUGGAAAAAGGUUAGUCUCAUCGAAAUCAUCAGACUUCACCCACUGAUUUCGGAACAGGAUGAUGGUGGCAUCGCUGCUUCGUAUGUUUAGCUCCGCAUCGGAAGCUGUAGAGUCCAUGACCAAAUAUUCGUAUUCCGAUCCACCUUACUCUGGCCCUGAAAAGUCAUAGUCCAACAAUUUAUAUUGAAAUUUGUCAUGGUGAUAACUUAACUACAUGUAAUACAUAUUCCUUUCGCUUGUACAUGUCUUAAAAUUUGCCAAAUGCUUAUAUGUCUUUGCCUUUCCUUUUGUAUAAUUGGUUGGGUAUUUUUAAUUGUAGGAAGAUAGUAAUAUUUUCAUACGUAUAAUUGUUUCAUAUCUCUUUUAUAGGUAAAUGAAGAUGUUAAUUAAUCAAAUAUUUUUCGUAUAUAUAGAAUUGUAUUAUAUAUUGUUUCUCCCCAAAAAAAAAGUGCUUUAGAUAUCAUUAUCAUAGGUAAGUAACCGUAUAUAAUUAGAAAUUUAAAUCUAUAUUUAUUAUCAAAGUCAAAAUAGUCAUACAACUAAAAAAUAAAUGCACAAAUUGGGUUAAAGUUGACCACACACACACAUACACACGCGCGCGCACACACACAUAUAUAAUAUGUUUGUGUGUUUGUUUGUUUUCUAUAUGUAGAGCUUAAUUAAUUAGGUUUGCAUGGUAUACAUAGUAUCCAAGCUAUGUAGCUAUCUUAUUUUUUUUUUUAUAAAAGUUAGCCUGCAUGAUUUCUAAUCCAUCAAUGUUUCUUUGUAGUUGGAGGUGUUCUAUUUCAUGCAUGCAAUAGUAGGAGCUGUCGCUUGGUAAAAUUAACAAGGGGUUUUUGAACUUUAAUUCUUGAAGAAGAUUAAAAUUUAAUAAAAAUUUAGUGUUAUAUUGAAUAUUGAUUUUAGUCUAUUAAUAUGUAUUUAAUUCAAAUUCAUAUUAUAUUUUUGUUUUUAUAUUUAACAGAUAACUUAUUUAAUGUUAUUACAUUAAAUUUUAUUUAACUUUCUCUAAUUAGUGUACCUAAACGUCUGUAUCAUAAUAUACUUUACUAAAUUAAUGUACCAAAAUGCCCGUACCAAAAUAUAUUGUAGUGAAUUAGUGACACAUAAGAAAAUAUGUAAAAACAUAAGUGUACAGAAAAUUCCGUACCUAACUAUAUGAUACUAAACUAGUGUACCAAAAUGUCGGUACCUAAAUAUAUUAUACUAAACUAGUGUACCGAAAUGUUCGCACCUAAAUAUAUUGUAAUGAAUUAGUGGCAGAUAAGAAAAUAUGCAAAACAUAAGUGUAAUGAAAAAUCUCUAUGAAAAAUAUUUUCUUAUAUAAGAUGCUUACCAUUAGAUGAUUCCACUAAAUGAUGCCUAUAUAUCCUCGAAUCUUACUUUUCCACUCCACUACAAACUUUCAUUGUCAAAACAAAAAAAAAAAACUCCCAACUUUUUAUACGCACUUAUUUCAAAAUUUUGCCUCUCUUUUGAAUCUUUUAUCAUGGCUUUUUCAAGCAAGAAGUCUAAACCAAUUAAGCUUUCCCCCUAUAAUCUUCCUUUGACAAGAGUUCGUAAUCGAGAAGAAGGUGAGUCUUUCAUUAAAGAGCACCAUGACAUUUUGGACGACUGUAACGUCUGGUGGGAACCUGGUCAUGAUAUCUAUGCUAAUCUGCACCGUUGUUUAGUCCUUGCUGUCUUUGUACUAGAAUCUACCCUUGGUUCUUGGACUUUGGUCUUCGUUUCCCUCUUUCUGCUUUUAUGAAAGCCAUUUUGUUAUGCUAUGAUAUAGCCAUCUGAAACCUCUCUUUUACCGCCUUCAAGCUUUUCACUUGCUUCGAGUUGUUGAAUUAGUGGUUCGGGGCUAAGUUGGAUAUCCCAGAGUUUAAAUGUUGCAUAGCUUCAAACCGAGUUUGGAUGACCAUUAUUAUUUUGCUGCUAUAACUAGUUUGGAUUAGGAGACAUACAUCAAGACACCCCUAAUCACCACAAGGAUUGGUUCAAAGACAUACUAAUUGUUAACGGAGCUUAGGAGGGAGAUAUUAGCGGACUCCAGAUCCGGAUUGAUCCUCCGACCGUUUAUCGCAAUUGGAAAUGGUUGUUCUCUACUGAGCACUUGAACAACCGUAAGAAGAUAUAGACGCAUUUCAUUGUUCAGGAUUCCCUAUAAAGAAGCUAGAGUAGGUUGAUGCUCGUAAUGAUCAUAGAAAAACUCGUUCCUUUAAAACAGCAUAGACUUUGUCACCUGUCCUAAAGAAGCGGAAACAUCCUAACAAUUCUUCUUCUUACUCAUUGGUUGUGACUCCUCAGCCACAACUGCUGAUUAAGGACAUCCAUUAUAAACCCCUCUUCGAAUAAGCACGUUGCUGUUCUGGCGCCACCAACUUUUAUUGUAUUUGCCUCUAUAUCCAUAGCAAAUAAGCCGCUUACUUCACCUCUUAUCCAUUUACCUGCGGUGUUGCCCCAAUUGUCGAAGUCAGAACCUAUUGUCCUCAUUUGGUUCUUCCACCAAGUUUUAUGUUCGUGCCAUACGAAAUUGAUGUGCCUUCCAUUUCCUCAACGUCCACUUUCGUCCAUCCGCUGCAAGUGCCUAUAUAUGAACCUUCCUGCCAUAAUGGUCCUCCAUUGAUUUCCCCAUCGAGGUCCAAGGGAACAUCUCGUCCUCCCUUUAUGAUCAAACCUUUGGCUGAUCGAGUUGCUUUUGCUUCUGAUGUCAGUGGUCUUCAAAACACAUAUGAUGCUCGGGUGCUGCAUGGGGCUACGAUUGCCACUACCGAUUUCAAGGGAGCCUACACUUCUCUUAAAUGUGACAUAAUGCAGUACUAUAGGAGUCAUUAUGAGAUACCCGAAUUUCUCUCCUCCAUUUCUUUUUGUUGAUAUGUUUCCCUCGUAUUAGGUUAAUGUGUGGACGAAUCUAGGAACUUAAACGGAUUACAGAUAUAGGCAAAACGAUGAUUGCUAUCCCAAUCAUAAGAACUUAAGAACUCGUAUACCAUGUAGCAAGCCUCGAAUACCACUCAUGAUGUAGAGAUAAUUCGGGAGAUUGAUCUAGCUACUGUUAUAGAGGUAAAGGCCAAAGAUUACAAGGAAAGUUUUGAGAAGGUUAGAGACGAGCUGAGGUUAGAGAAGCAAGCCAAGACGAAGGUGGACUAGGCUCUUGUUGUCUUAAAAGGAGAGUCGGAGCGUGUGUUAGCUUUAAAACAAAAUGUUUGGGCUAAAGAGCAGGAAGCUCUUCAAAAAAAGAGGUCGAGCAUCUAUGCUAAGAGGUCGAUCACAACGAUAACAAGCCCAUCGCGUACCUUUAGCAGCUUACUAACAGGUAUUCCUCUUAGACGUAUGUAUUCCAGGAAGAUCAUAAGAGGUUACUUGAAGAGGAGUUUGACGUCAGAUUCCUUACCGAUUACGCCCAACAAGAUCACCCUAAAGGUUGGAGCGUCUUCAGAAUUUAUGAGUAGAUCAAACACAUGGACUUUCCUCCUCCGCAUCAUUUGUUAGAUGAGAUGUCAGAUUUAGAGGCGGAGCAAAAUGAAUGUGAUCUUAAAGGUAAUCCGACACCUGAUGCCCUUGGUGAAUCUUCUACUCCAUUCAAGGGAAACGAUGUCCUGAAAAAGGAUUAAUUUGCACUUGCUCCUGGGUAGGAAAGGAGACUGUCCCUUUUGCAAACUUUUUGUCGUAAUACAAAGCUUUUUCUUUCAUUUCUUUCUCUACUCGGGGAAGAAAUCUUAAUCCUAUAAAUUUCUCUAAAGUAAACGAACUUUAUUUGAGAAAUAAGUGGCGGAGCGGGUACGAGUAAGUUUGUAGGUUCGGGACAAAGCUCAUCAACUCCCCUUGGAAACAUUGAUUCAGGGGAAUGUUGCCUCCUAAGAUUUGUAUUCAUAAAGUAUUCUCAUCAUGAUAUCUAGAAUACCACCUUAUUAUGGUAUUAGGAAUUAGACAUUAAACCCAUGAGAAAACUCUUGCUCUUACACUUAUUAAAAUACAUUCAUCAGGUAUAAGAGGUCCAAAUCAUGCCUGAUAACAUCUUAGAAGUAGAGGUCGAUUACCUCAAAACUUGCAAUGUGGUGCCAGAAUGAGUUUUCCCUGGUCCGAAUUGCGUGUUCAUUUCUAGUGAAUCUUACGCAAAAGUUCUUUGGAUACAUGGUCAUCAACAUGUGAGUCAAAAAUGCUUUUAGAAUCCUUUUGUUAGACCCUAUGUGUCGGACUUGAGCGUUUAUAAUCGGACUACUUUGGUUGGCUUGACCAAAGCAUUUUCGCUUACUGAAGCUCCAUUGGAAUAAAAUUCCUCUUUGGGAUUGCCUAGUUUGAAUGCCCUCUUCGAACCUGCUAACACUUGGUGUUGUAGAGCUUACUUGACUUAGUAAAUUAGUCUGGGAUAGAAGUAGUCGUACUCGGGGUCAGAUUUUAGAGCCACCCUCAGAUAAGUUCCAGAUCGCCCUUUUGACUAUUCCCUCGAAUGUGUAGAGCCCAGGUUUGGAAUGUUAUAACCCACAACCUUGCUGGUUACAUAAACUUUCUAGAGACUGGAUGGUGCAUUGGACUUCCAGGUCAAGGCGCAAUGUUCCUGUACCCAUAGCCCACCAGUCGUUACAACACUUAUUACUGUUCGAGUCUAACAAGCUGCUAGCCGUUCCAGACGGAUAAGGCUAAAGAAGGCUCUUAUGAUAGUGUAAUUUUGAAUGUUUUUAGACUUGUAUUCGUGUAAAGUUUUCAAAGUUUGGGGCCUAUUUUUUAACGAGUGGGGUACUCCCUACAUCAUCGAAAAAAUAAAGAAAAGAAUACGUAUUUAAGACAAACAGAUGCUCGUUAUUCAUGAUCGAAGUAAAAUUGAUUGACAAGAGGGUGUGAUUGAAUCUGAGAAGGAUUGCCUACAUAUUUAUGAGAUGGAGAAUCAAAUUACUGAUAUAGUUCUAAAGAAAAUAUGAUAUAUGUAAAAAUUUACAUGAAAGAUCACUUUUGACGAUAAGCCUAUAGGGAGGCGUUGGGGGAUGAUUUCUCAAUGGACUUAUCUUCACACAGAUGGGGGCGUUACCGAACUGCCUACAUAUCUCAGGAAGGGAAUCAAACCGUGUGUAUUUCAUGUGAGAUUUACUUUGUUUUAGGUCACUUGGAGAGGCUUGCAAGGGUUUUAAUUUUCUUUCUUCAACAAGGAUUUCAUCCAUCGGCACAAGUCCUCUGGUUUCUAUGUCAUUGAACCUUUUGCUGCUUGGCAUCAAUUCGGAGUAGUGAGGUGGGAUUCUAUCUUUAAAGGGGACUUUUGCCAUGGCGUAUAACCAUUCUCGGCCAAAGAAAGCGUUGUAUAGAGACAAAUUAUCCAUCACUUGGAAAGUCAUCAGAUGUUCAGAUGGUUUUGCUUGAACCAUGAAAUGUAUUGUCCCUAUGGUGUUAAGCGGGGUUCCAUUAAGGGUUUGGACAUUGGAUCUUCAUGAGUUGACUUCAUCUAGGAUGUUAAUUGAUAGGGAUUUUUACCAUCUACAAAAGUAGAGAUAAAAACACUUAAAAAUACUUGCAAGAGUACAAGGUUGUCGUAGUAUAGUGGUUUAGGCAAGGUCGUUUUCCACCGAGAUUGAAUGAAUAAUUUGUGUUUAAAACCAACACUUAAUUAAUUAUUUAAAACAAAGUUUGGAAAAUGUUGAUUUUAGAAUUUAAUAUAAUAAAAACGAAUUUUAAAAUAAAACAAUUAAAGAAAUUAACUAGAGAACAAUUUAAAGAAAAACAAUUUGUAAAAGCCUAGGGUUCCGCCGUCCCCUUAACAAUCCUACGCAAUUUUACUAAUUACUUAUGAAUUUCCACAUAUAUACUUUGAAGGUUAGGUUUUCCUAAUGCAUAUUUUCCUUGUGUGUUUAAGCGAAAACGUAUAUCUAACAUGCAACCCGUCUGUGAUGUUCAGAUCAAAUAUAAACAUGCAAGACUCAUUAAGCUUUAUGAAAACCCUUUGAAAAACCAUGCAACCCUUAAGAGCGUGAUAUUCACCUUAAGUGAACUUACAAUUACUAAUCACAAGAAGCCCUCCUCAAUUUCAGGGUGAUGUUCCAACAGAAAUUGCAUCAAAUUACUUGUCUAAAAACCCUAAUGGUUGCGAAUCACUAAGACAAUUAGAUAGUUUGAUCGCAGUGAUUAAUAAUUCAAAGUAAGCAUGCAUCCAUUCAUAAGCAAAUUAAUAAAAUCACAUAUUCAUGCUAAGGCUUGUGGCAUCGCCCUAGCAAAAGAACUUAGUUACGAACAAUCAUGAAACAAAAUAUUAUUGAGAAUAAGGAUAGAAAACGCCUAGAAAAUAAACUUGAAAAACUCUCUAAAGUGUGCGUGCGUUCUCUCCUCUCCUUCCCUUCUAACCCUAAUGGCUAAAAGGUCUUAUUUAUACUACUACAAAAUAAAACCUAAAAAGUCUUAGAAUAAAACUAGGAAACAUAAUAAAAUAAUAAAACAUAAAAUAAAAGGUUUCCUAUUUGAACUAAAAUUCGGAUUUCUUAGAAAAUCAGACUUUUGACCGACCAAAUUAACUCUGAUUUGUCCCAAAAAGUCUCUUUUGAAAGAUGGAGACGUCCCCUACAAAUCCUCAGAAGAAAUCUUCCUCAAAAUAUUCCAUCUUGACCUUCAAAAUGCCCAAAACGUCCAGAAAGGUCAGUCUGGAAAAGCUGCGCGCUGGGCCUUUAUUUCAUAACCACGGUCAAACGGCUUAGUAGAAAAAUAUAGAAUUUUGACACAAUCAUCUUGAAAGACUCACGAACAUCCUCCAAUUAGAAUUACUCUAAAAUUAAUCUGUUUGAUCACUUUUUUGCUCCAGAGGAAAUUGAAUGUCCAACUUUAGAAAUAUAGUUCAAAGUAUCAAAAUUCUACCAAAAUAACUAGGGUAAAUUACAUAGUAGCCCCUCAGGUUUGAGGUCUAUUACAACCCCAUACAACAACUUUAAAACAUUUCACUUUCAUACAUCCAUUGCCAUUUUAUUUCAAAAUAACACCUCUGUUAGAUUUUCCAUCUAUUAGUCUGUUAAAUGCUGACGUGGCUACCACAUUUAUGCUGAUGUGGCUGCCACGUGGAAAAAAUAUUUUUUAUACAUUAAAAAUAUUAUAAUAUUAACCCAAUUAAAAUAUUAAAAAAAACAUAAAAACCCUAACCUAGAUCCCCUUUCUCCCCCCUCUCUUUUAUGCAAUCCCUUCCCACUAUCCCUCACCCACCCCCCAGCGACCUCUCCCCAAGCGACCCACAUCCCUAUCCCUAACCUAGAACCCAAAAACCUGCAACAAGAAGAAGAAAAAGAAGAAGAUGAGGGAGGAAAAAAAAAACCCCCAGUUUGUCCCCUCUUCAAAACCUGCAAGAAGAAGAAGACGAAGAAGAGGGAGAAAAAAAAGAGAAAAAAAAGAAAAAAAAAAGCCCAGUUCGCGGGAAGGUCGCCGAAAGGUCGCGCGAGGGGGGGGGAAGGGAAGUCGGUCGCGGGUCGCGGCAGAGCGGGGGGAAGGGAGAUGGGUCGUGGGUCAUGGCAGGGCCGGGGGGGUUUUCUUUUUUUUUUCUUCUUCCUCCCUCUUCUUCUUCUUCUUUUUGUUGUUGCAGGUAUGUGGGUCGCUUAAAGGGGGUGAAGUCUUUGGGGGUGGGGUUCGGGGUGGGUAAGGGAUAGUGGGAAGGGAUUGCAGAGAGGAGAGGGGGAAGAAAGGGGAUCUGGGUUCAGAGGGUGUGUAGAGAAGGAAAGAAGGUGGGUGCGGAGGAAGAGAGGGUUGCGGGUUAGGGGGGUGCACAGGGAGGGUCGACGUUUGGGGGGGGGGGCGGGGGUGUUCUGGGUUUCUGGUUUUGGGGUGGGGGGUUAUCAUUUUUGGGUUUUAGGGAACAAGAUGAAGAUGGGGGAUAUAGGUUUGGGGGUUGCUGGGAGAAGAGAGGAUUUUGGGAGUUGCAAAAGGGUGGGGGUGGGGGAGGGGGGAAGGAAGGGAUAUGGAAUUCGGGAUUUUCUAGUUUUUUUUGUUUUUUUAAUUGGGUUAAUAUUAUAAUAUUUUUAAUGUAUAAAAAAUAUUUUUUUCUACGUGGCAGCCACAUCAGCACAAAUGUGGUAGCCACGUCAACAUUUAACAGACUAAUGGAUGAAAAAUCUAACGGAGGUGUUAUUUUGAAAUAAAAUGGCACUGGAUGUAUGAAAGUGAAAUGUUUUAAAGUUGUUCUAUGGGGUUGUAAUUUACCCUCAAAUCUGAGGGGUUACUAUGUAAUUUACCCAAAUAACUAAUAUAUUAAUACUAAGAUAAGGGUAAAAUAUAUGGUAAUAUGGACUUAUCACUAAUCCUUAUAGCUACCUCCUGAAGAGGAUAUUGACUUCCGAUCCGUUAUCGAUUAGGACUCUGCCGACCAUAGUGUCUUUGAUUUACAACUUGACUGCAAGAGUGCCAUUGGAUGGUGGGUAAACAAUUUAUGGCCUGGUUAAGGGAUCUUUCAUCCAAGGUUUUCCUUGGGUCAUUUUCCUUCCCUUCUGCGCUUUCUUGAAAUACUAUUGUCUUCUCCUUAUGUGAUUGAUGCCUGGAUGGACUUCAUGCCUAGGUGUUAGGGAGGCAGUGGUUAGGGAAUUUCCCGCAGUCUUGUAAAUUACACUACUAGGAGGGCUUCCUAGAUCAACUAUUGUGAAUUUGUCGUUCCUGGGGGAGCUCGAAUAGUAGAAUUUUCAAAUCGGGUGAAGGUACCUUCUACAGUUUUCAUUCUUUCAUUCAGCCUAGCGAGCUUCACCCUUUCUCCUACUUGUAGGUUCUUCUUGAGCACUUUUAUUGACAUGUGUACCUUCAGGACGUUAUCCCAGACCUGGUCGAUGAAAGAGGCUUCUUCUCUAUUCGGGUAUACGGUUUGACCAAACAGCAAUUUUCUGGACGUGGUAUCCGUGGAGCAAAGUGGUCUGGUCGAGAGGAAUAUGGGUUUUCUUUUAAUGAAAGCACCAAUUGUUGAAACCAAAUCUACGCACCUCCGUGAGCGGCGGUUGGGCACAAAUCCGAGUAAACCUGAACAACCUACAAAAGGCUCUUCGAUAGUCAAGCAGUAGGCAAGAGAAUUCAAAUGUAUAGGUUACGUUACUGUAGAUGAACCCUAAACGGGUGUAUUUAUACUAUGAGAGAGAGACAUUUUUAGGAUAGAUCCUCAUUUUAAGCCGGGAGAAUCAUAGAGGAUAUUAGUGAGUAGAUAUUGCAUCUUCUUAGGAGUUGUGAUCACUUGCGGAGCAUGCCUAUCCCUAAAUUGUAGGGACUCCAAGACUUAUAGGAUCUGAUUGUGUCCAUAUCCAGAUCACAUCACAUGUCUUGCAAAACAAGUAUGGUCAUAUGGUGGAGUCACUAGGACUCUGCCUAGGGCCCCAUAGUAGAGUGAUGGUGGCACCCUUCUCCAUUUGAUACAGCUUCACCCGGAGUUGGUAGUGAGUCCAUGAUUGAACUCUUGAGAUAACGGUAUUCGGUUUAGCCUUACUCCGAUCCUGAAAAAUCAUGGUCCCACAUGAGCAGACAAACAUAUUUAGGUGAUUCUGUAAAUGAAUAAUUCCAUCGUGUAUUACGGUGCUCCUACAGAAAAUGGUCCCAAAUUUCUAUCACUUCCAUUCAUUUAUCAGCAAUAGCCCAAACGCCAAACCUCAUUUUUUAAAAGUCACCUGGUAUUAAGCUAAAUAAGUCAAUUAAUUAAGUAUGUAAUUGAGUAAUUAACUAAUGGUGGUGAGAUGAUGAGAAAUGGAAAGUACAAGAGUAUCCUGCACAGAACCACCGUAAACAAGGACAAGACAAGAAUGUCAUGACUAGUGUUAUUGGAGCCGCCAGCAGGUCCUCAUUUACAGCUUGUGAACGCCGACAAUCCACCAGAGUAUAAGACCAAGAAGUAUGGCUACCAUGUUUACUGUAAGAUCAACAAGCAUCCCCAGUAAAUAAAAGAAAAACUAACGAAAAGUUAAAAAAAGACUUUAGUUUUAAUGAAAAAUGACAAAUAAAGGUGUAAUGAAUAGUAUCAGGGAAAAGUAAAAAUGUGAUUUUUCGUUAAAAGUGAACAAUACCAGGAGUAUUUGUUAAAACUCCCCAUAAAUAAAUACUAUGAAGUGGGUGGUUUUUGUUUUUUUUAUUUUUAUUUCCUUAUUUUGUGUUGGUGAAAUUGUGGGUGGUGAGUACCAUAUUUGUAUGAAAUAAUAAUUUGAAGUCAAGGUGAUGAGCAAAAUCUUACUCGAUUGUAUAUUAUUAUGGAAGUUGAGAUUUGUUGUCGGAUUCGACAUUCUUCUUAUCCCUCUAACUCACAACAAGUCUGAUCAAAUUCUCAUUUGGUGUCCAAGAUAAAUUUGAAUGAAUAGCCCACAAUAUUUAUUGUAUGUUGAACAAACAAAUGAAAAUUUUGUAUCCAAUUUAAAGUAAAAGAUGAAUUACUCAUACAGAAAACUUGUACAUUCAAAUUUCCUCCAAAAUGACAAGAUUCUUUGGGACACUUUGGAUGCGAUCCCUAGCUAUCAAUAUUCUUUGAUUGAAACCUUGUUAGUUUUUAGUUUUUGAUUGAGGUCCCUGAUAUUAAUGUAAUAAUGUAAGUUACUAUAUUUUUUUAAUUAAAAAUUAAAAAUUGAAAUUUGUAAUUGUUUAUAUUAAUGAGAUUUUAAAUAAAACCCAUAAUUUAUGGGAUUAAAAAUAAUAAAAUAUAAAUUAUUCUCUCUAUUAUAUUGUGUGUGUGUGUGUGUGUAUAUACAUAUAUGUAUGGGUACAUUAACCAAAAUUAACAAAAAAAGUUAUUGUACCAAAACAUGGAUACAUUCUCAAAUCAACGAAAAAGAAUGUACCCAUAUAAGUUUAAACAUGGAUUAAAAAAUUUGAAUGGAUUUUAUAUUAAAAAAGGGUACAUUUUACAUAUAACAAAUUGAUAUAUUUGAGAAUGGGUACAUUUAAGAUUAAAAAAAUUGAAAAAUUAUAUGAAUGGGUACAUUUAAGAUUAAAAAAUUGAGAAUCUUUUUAUAUAUAAAAAAAACUAAUAGGUACAAACUUAAUUUAAUUUAAUUUUUUAUUAUUUUGGAAAUGUUUGAAUUGAAAAUUAAUUAGAAGUUUAAUAGAGGUGUGAGUAUUAAACCCUAAAUUAAUUACUAAUUUUUAUAUUAAAAAAAUUAUAUAAUAAACAUGUAAAUUCAUUAUCACAUUAAUGCUAGGGACUUGAAUCAAAAUUAAGAACUAAUAAGGUGUUAGUCAAUGAACAGUAAAAACUAGGGACUGGAUACUAAUUUUUCCUUAAAAAUAUAACUUUCAUUCAUAUCUACUCAAAAUGAAGAAAACCAUUUACCUCUACAUUCAUCUUUAUGUACUUGGAAUUUUACGAGUUAUCUAUUACAAUCCUAGAAAUCAAAUGACCUUAAGAAACAAAGAAUCAGAAUAUUUAAACUUAGGACAUUGGAUACAAAAGUGUAUAUUCUUAAUCACUACAGUUCAUUUCUUAAACUUUUAUAGUUUAGAAUGCAUAAUCUAUAAAAGCUUUAUUUACAGAAGAAAAGAAAGAAAAUGAGGAGACACGAUUGAUUUGUACAAAAAUAAUAUUGUACAGGCAAAGUCACAUCCCAGAACCAAUUUUGGGAGAGGUUUUGUUUGUUUGCAAGUAAAACAAGUAGAUGUUUUUAACCUUUUACCCUCCAAAACAAGUUCAAGAACGUUCUACUAGUUAGAACAAUAAUAGUAGGGUGGAAUGCUGAUUUAAUCUCUGAAUUAUUACCUCAGUGAAAAUUAGGUCCCUGAAUUAUUUUUCGGUAAAAUAAGUCCCUAAAUUCAUUAAAAAUUGCUAAUUUCAUCCAUACUACUAUAUUAAAAGCUAGUUUAUCACUUUUUUGUCAACUUAAGUCACUUGACACAUUUUAAAGUAAAAUACCAACAUUUUCUCACGUAUAAGCCAUUAACAUUUCAUACAGGUUACCAAUCUAAGGUCUAAUUUUUACCCUCCAAAGUUAACUUCAUAUACUAUUUCUUUAUGUAAAAUUACUAAUCUACUCUCUAAUGUGUAUCAUAUGCAAGUACCUUGACUUAAGUUGACGGAAAAUUGAAUAUAAUAGCUUUGAAUAUAAUAUUAAGGAUGUAAUUGGCAGAUUUUUAAAAUUCAAUGAUUGAUUUUCCUCAAAAAAAUAAAAAUAUUAAAGACCUAACUUUUACUCAGGUGAUAAAUUAUUCAGGAACUAAAUUGGCAGUUCACUCAUAGUAAUAAUGACAGACCCCGACCUAAAUCAGGGCGUGCUAAUCGUCACGUGAGGGUGACGUAGCCAUGUGCACAGUGUGGAAGCAAUAGAGAUAAAAGGAAAUGUGAAUGAAUAAAAACCAUACUACUAAAAGUCCUAGCUAAAAUAAAGUGCUAGUGUGAGAUUAAGUGUGAAAUACACCAUCAAAGCAUAAAUAGUCUAAGUGCAGUUCAACUGGAUAAGUACUAAUUAUAUAACACCCGAAGGUGAUCCUACAUUUAAUAUUCUGUAAGAACCACCGACGAAAUCCCCAUGAGCCACCAAAGCACUUCUACUUAAAAUCUGGAGGGGCGCAAAACAGAAAGUGUGAGUGGGCAAAAACAAAGCUUUUCAAAAUCAGUUCAUUUAUCAAAAAACGCUAACCCCUUGUCGUAAAACCUGUAUAAUUUCCUAAAAAAUAAUAUAUGUUAUAUCAGAAAUCAUGCUCAGGAUGAAAAUCCAUAGAAAUAUAUCAUGCCAAAGUAUCUCAAAGAAAUGCUAUAAAUUAUUCAGUUAAAAUAUAUCAAUACCAGAUAUCAUAUCAGCCGGAUCCACCUAACAUGACCUGCCCAGUUGAGUUUAUAACUCAUAACCAAUCUUAAUCAUAUCAAAUCAUGCACACGAGUCGGAAACACCUAACGUGGUCUGUACGACAAGACUAGGUGUAAAAUAAAUAUGCUCUAGUGCUAUGAUCACGUGAAGACUAUGCAUAUGAUCACGGUUCACCUACGAGUCAGAACCACCUAUAGUGGUCUGUAGGACAAGCCUGUGCACCUAACUUGGAUCCAAGGUAAGCAUAUGGUGCAGGAGGUGAACAUCACAUGAAGGACUGUGCCUUAACUCUGGGCAGGAGCACUAACACCAGGGUGCAGGUUUAUGAGCUCUCAUUGCAUCACAUCAUAUCUCGCAUAACUAAAUCAAUCUCAUAUAUUUAAUUUAUGAACUUACCUGGCACUUACCUGUGCGUCCGCAGCACCAAUCAUAAAUAUAUGCUACUAUUAAUGCAUAAAUAAAAUAGGCAGAUACUUUGUAUGGCAUUUCAAAACGUAUAAUCAUUCAAAUUCAUUUUCUGGGAAAAAUCUCAAGUAUAUAGGUAUAUACGGAAAACCAAAAGCCCACUCACCGGUAUGUCGAAAGGUUGUAGCCCCCGAGCCUCGAAUGAUGGCGCUCGUCCUCUAGAUAGGUCUCACCUAUAUGCGAAAUAACUAAAUAAAUGUUAAUUAAAGCACACAACCACAAUUAGCUAAUAACUUCUUAUACAAUGCUCAAAUGAGGUGUUUGAAUAUACCAACGUGAUCUACUCAACACCACGAACAUCCCCAUAUUUUUAGAAAAAAAUUUCGAGCAUCCAAACACCCUCACGCGCUGGCCAAGGCACGGCUAGACAAGCGGCCCACUUGCAGGCACGUGCCUGGCACACCAAACGGAUUCCCUAACGGCGUUAAGGAAUAUUCCGUUAAAAACCAACAUAUACCGUUAAAAUUACCUGACAGCAUUAGCAUAUUCCGUCAACUUUGACGUAAUAUUCUCCUUCUUCCUCCUUGGUUCGCCGGAGUCUAGCGCCAAUGCCGUUGCUAUCAUCGGAAACUGGAAAAAUCCUAAAAACUUCAUAUCUUUUUCGAUUCUCAACCAAAAUUCAUGAAAUUUGUCUCAAAAUGAAGCUUAGAGUGAGUAGAACACAUUCUUACCACUUUCAAGCCUUGAAAUCCAUGGAAACUCGCCAAAGAAACCUCGAUAAUCCUGCCAAAAUUUGAAACUCGUCAAACUAAGCUUCCCGACGUCCAAAACAGUCCAACUUUCUUCCCCGAGCUUCGUGAAGACGUCCUAAAACUCCCUGGAACCUUAAAAGUCAAAGAAAAGUCCACAAUCAUAACUGCAUGAACAGUGCUCAAAAUCGGGAUUCUUGGGUUCUUGAGUUUUUGAAGGAUUCACGUUCUAAAAAUGGUAUAGAUGUGUUCCUGAGCUCACAAGGAACAUGAAGAUGGCUUCCAAAACCUCGAUUUGCGAUUAAUGAGCUAGGUUCGAGUUUGUCCGUACGGUUGUACGAAAAUGGAAAAAAAUCUGAUAGGGAGGAGAGAGAGAGUAAACGGGAUUGGUUGGUGUGUGUGUAUGGUCUAGCUUUGGGCUACUAACAACAACAAACCAUUAACUUUAAGUUCCGAAAACUUAGGAACUUAACAUAUUGGUCCACCUCUAAAAGUACGUCACACACAACACAUCUCAACGUUUAAGGGUAAAAUAGACAUUUCACACUAUCGAUAAAAAUAAUUUGGGACUGGCUGUGACAACCUACCUUCCUUAAGAAAAUUUUAUCCUCGAAAUUCACACAACAAAUACAAUCCACUAAUAAUCAUAAAACAACCUUGCAUACAUAUCCCUCAUCCUGUCCUCUGUCUCCCAAGCAGCUUCUUCCAUUGAGUGAUUUCUCCAUAAAACUUUCACUAAGCGCACGGUCUUGUUCUUCAGCACCUUAUCUUUCCAAUCCAAUAUCGUCACUGGCUCCUCAUCAUAAGUCAAAUCUGGAUUAAUUUCCAAAGGUUGAGGAGGUAUCACAUGUGACGGAUCUGAAAAAUAAUGACGAAGCAUGGAAACAUGGAAAAUGUCGUGCACUUUAGAUAACUCUGGAGGCAACUCAAGCCUGUAAGCAACUUCACCGACUCUCUCGGUGAUCACAUAUGGUCCGAUAUACCUAGGACUUAACUUACAUUUCUUCCCAAACCGAACCACACCUCUCCAUGGUGAAAGCUUAAAAAAUAUCCAAUCACCCACUUUAUACACCCUGCCAAUGGCGUGUUUUUCUGCUAAACUCUUUUGUCAAUCCUGGGCAGCUUUCAGGUUAGAUUUAAUUACUUGAAUAUUCUGAGUAGUCUCAUCCACAAUCUUAGGGCCCACCAAAACUCUUUUGCCAACCUCUGACCAACAUAAAGGUGUACGACAAGACCUGCCAUAAAGUGCCUUAAAUGGUGCCAUACCAAUACUUGAAUGAAAACUAUUGUUGUAGGCAAAUUCCAUUAAAUCCAACCGCUUAUGCCAAACGUCACUAAACUGCAAUACUGAAGAUCUCAGCAUAUCUUCCAGCGUCUGAAUAGUCAUCUCUAAUUGUCCAUCUAUUUAAGGAUGAUAUGAUGUACUAUAAAGUAAUCUCGAACCAAGAGCUUCCUGGAAUGCUAUCCAGAACUUAGAAGUAAAUCUAGGAUCACGAUCCGAGAUAAUACUAACUGGAACUCCAUGGUACUUCACAAUCUUCGAUAUGAAUAAUUUAGCUAAUCGGCUUAAAGAAUACUUCUCCCUCACAGAAAUAAAAUGUGCCGACUUAAUAAGCCGAUCAAUUAUCACCCAAAUGCCAUCAUAACCAUUCUGUGUACGAGGAAACUUGUACACAAAAUCCAUAGUAAUAUUUUCCCAUUUCCACUAUGGAACGGGAAGUGGCUGCAUCAAUCCAAAAGGUUUCUUUCUUUUUGCUUUGACAUGCCACCUACUCACAUAUUCGGCAAUUCUCUUUUCAUACCUGGCCAAUAAUAAAAUGGUCGAAUGGUAUGAUACAUUUUAGUACCUCUUGGAUGCAUUGCAUAAGCUGAAAUAUGUGUUUCAUCAAGAAUUGCUUUCUUUAAUUCCAUAUUAUUCGGCACAUACAUUCUACUUUCCUGCAUAAGCAUGCCAUCAGUUUCUCGAAUUCUGAAGUCUUUCUUCUUCCCCCGAUUCCUUGCUUGAAUUAUUUCCUGGGUCUCUUCAUCAUCCAUCUGGGCUUCAAGUACAUGAUCAAUUAAUAUUGGCCUGACUUGAAAUUUUGCAAGUAAGGCUUCCUCUCGAUCUUCCACUCCUAACUUCACUCCAGUGGACCUUAAAUCCGUAAGAAGAGGAACAUGACAAUCAUAAAUGACAUUAAGUCUAAUUGAAGGAACUUCAAGAUCAAGCCCCAACGACCCUUUGAAGGAACUUCCACCAAUUCAAGAUCAAGCCCCGACGGCCCUUGAAGAAAGCGUUCAUCGUUCAUCAUCCGUUCAUCCUAAGAUCAAGCCCCAACGACCCUUUGGAUCAACAACAUCAACAAAUCCACAUAUCCAAUCGUUUUUCAAGAUAAAGCCCAAAAUCCCUUGAAGAUCCAUUCAUCAACUGUUCAUCAAGAUCAAGCCCCAAAGGCCUUUGAAGAUCCGUUCAUCAACAAUUCUUCAAGAUCAAGCCCAAAAGCCUUGAAGAUCCGUUCAUCCAUCAACCUUCAAGAUCAAGCCCAAAGGCCCUUAAAGAAACUUCCCUCAACCUUCAAGAUUAAGCCCCAAUGGCCCUUGAAGAAAACUUUCAACCGUUCAUCCAAGAUCAAGCCUCGACGGCCCUUGGAUCAAUCGCACAUCCACAAAUCAACACCUUACGGAGAUCGAAUCAGAGGAUCAAAUUUGAGAGAGAUUGUAACCCCUAAAUCAUUAAUACAAAUAUUAUUUUGUACACGUGUUCUUGUCUCGUUCGUUUAGAAAUUUCCGUGUUUACAAAUUUGGCACGCCCAGUGGGACGUUCUCUAUCUUUGAAUCCGUAAAAAGCACAAAUGGCAUCAAAGAAGACUCAAGUCGCUCUCACAACCAAUGCAAGGAAUAAGAGCGUCAUCACCGCAGGUGGUGUCACUUCGGGCGUCACAACUCGAAGCAAGGCAAGAGCUCUUUCUGCCGCCUCUUCUAUUCCUGCAUCAACUCUGCCGAAGGAACAAGAGCACCCGAGGCACGAACCUAUGAUCAUCCUGGCCUCGCUAAGGGCGCUAAGGAAGGAAAGCCCAAGGAAGUACUCUGGUUCCAUGUUUUCCGAUGCCGACUCAAGCGGCAGCUCAGCCAUGCAAGUCAUGACUACUAGAGCAACUUCAAUCGAUGAGCAGUUGGCUCAUAUGAAUGAAGCGAUCGCAAGGCUAACACGGAUUGUGGAAGAAAAAAACCAGCAAAUCGUCUCACUCGUCAACCAACUAGAUGUAAAGCCCGACGUGAAAAUCGAGCAAGGGGAUGAUCCAGUAAAGAAGGAAAACGACGAGGAUGAAGAGCCUCAUGUGGAGAAAGUCGAAGAGAAACUAAAGCUAGACCAAUCAGCGGUAUUCAUAGGAUCUCUCUCGAUCCAGCAGCUGCAGGAGAUGAUCGCCAGCACCAUCAAGGCACACUACGAAGGAAGUUCACAUGACUCCGUACUAUACUCAAAACCCUACUCCAAGAAAAUUGACGUUUUGAAGAUGCCGAGGGGUUAUCAGCCACCAAAGUUCAUGCAGUUCGAUGGAAAGGGAAACCCGAAGCAACACGUUGCACAUUUCGUCGAAACCUGCAACAACGCGGGGACAUAAGGAGAUUACCUCGCCAAGCAGUUUGUACGCUCGCUGAAAGGAAAUGCCUUUGAGUGGUACACGGACCUAGAGCCUGAGUCCAUCAACAGCUGGGAGCAAUUGGAAAGAGAAUUCCUCAACCGCCGCACUGUGAGCAUACUAGAGCUGACGAGCACAAAACAAUGGAGGGAUGAGCUAGUUGUAAACUACAUUAAUCGAUGGCGCAAUCUAAGCCUCGACUGCAAGAACAGGCUCUCAGAGAUCUUUUCAAUCGAGAUGUGCGUCCAAGGCAUGUAAUGAGGGUUACACUAUAUCUUUCAAGGUAUUAAACCACGGACCUUUGAAGAGUUAGCCACCCGUGCCCACGACAUGGAGCUAAGUAUUGCCCAUCACGAGAAGAAAAAUUCGAUCACCGACUUCAAGAAGGAUAAGGUGUUCUCCCCAAAUGUAGACAAGACUGGGAAGAAACCCCCCAAGGAAGCGUUCACCGUCAGCACUGCACCUGUCAAGACCGCCUUUGCACCUAUCAAGAUCUCCUCCAAAACCAAAGCAAAGGAGAUAAAGAGAGGUGAGCCUCCUCGCACCCAAGAAAGGUACAAAAGCACCUUAAGGGAAUUGGAGCAGAAGGCGUACCCUUUUCCUGACUCAGACAUGGAUGCAAUGUUAGACGACUUGCUGGAAAAGAAGGUAAUCAAGCUACUCGAAUGCAAGUGGCCUGAAGAAAUGAAUCGCAUAAACGAUCCUAAAUACUGCAAGUACCAUCGAAUCGUGAGCCAUCAUGUGGGUAAGUGCUUUGUCCUCAAAAAGCUCAUCAUGAAGCUAGCAUAACAAGGGCGAAUCGAGCUCAACCUCGAAGGCACGGCCGCAACACAUACUACUACAAUUACAUUUGGAUCUUUCGAUCCUGUACCUCUUCAAACAACACUUGACCAUUCCUAUCAAUGCUCAAGUUGCACGAUACCUUAUGCGCAACCAUCGCCGGGGGCAAACGAACAAGAUGCACAUACCGAUGAUGAAGAAGGAUGGACAUUGGUGACCUACAAAAAAACAAGGAAACCAAAACCACAAGCCAUAAGACCAAAUGUGGAACAAGUGAGAAAGCAUCGUCGCCGCAACAAUAAGAAGCCCAAAAGAAACAUAAAAGCUGAUAAGCCAACAUAUGUUGGGGAACCUAUGGAGCAAGAGACACGCAUUCCUGUCUCCUUGCAUGAGUAUUUCUCGAAUGACUUCUUCCAACAGUGCACUAUCGCUGCAUGCCACAUGGUCGAAGUAGAAAUGGAAGAACCUUCAAAAGGCAAAGAUAUCACCACUGAGGGAGAAAAAACUCUCACGCUCGAAGAAGGUCUGCCAAUACACCUUAGCAUUGAGGAAGCGCUACGAUUGCCAAAGAAGAUGCGAAGAGCAUUAACAGCGGUCUUGGAAAGUCCCAAUGACCACGAAGCGCAAGAAAGCAAAGACGAAGGCUUGAAGCUUCAACCACAUGAAUACGCCACAUGUUGUGCCACCUAUGAUGCAAUCAACUUCACUGACGAAGAUUUACUACUGGGAUCAAAGCCUCACAACCGUCCUCUUUUUGUCUCGGGAUACGUAAAAGAGCACAAAGUCAACUGCAUGCUUGUGGAUGGUGGAUCAGCCAUCAACAUCAUGCCAAAGUCAACAAUGGCUACAAUCGGCAUCAAGGUGGAUGAACUGUCCUUAAGUCAUAUACUAAUCCAAGGUUUUAAUCAAGGAGGACAAAGAGUGAUGGGCAUGAUCCGUGUGGGGAUGACUAUUGGUGAACUCAAGUCAAGCAUGAUAUUCCACGUGAUUGAUGCAAGAACUUCCUACGACUUGCUCUUAGGAAGGCCUUGGAUCCAUGCAAAUAGAGUAGUACCGUCCACCCUUCACCAAUGCUUAAAAUUCUACUGAGAAGGAGUGAAGGUGAUCUAUGGUGACACCAAACCAUUCACCGAAGCCGAAUCACAUUUCGCAGACGCCAAGUUCUACAUGGAUGAAGACAUGGUGCCCAAACACCGUCAACAAUAAAGAAUGUGACCUCACUGAGACUCAAAAGAAGUUGAAGAAGCAUGGUUACGGAGUUGACAACGACAAAGCUGGACUUGGCUUCACACCAAAUGCACACGUGAAGAUUUCAAGCAAAGCAAAAAAUGCUAGCACUCAACACAUCAGCGUGAACAUUGAACAAGAUCAAUAGAAGCUUAAGUCCGCCCUUCGGACGUUAGUCUUUGAUAGGAUGAAUCGUUCAAGACCCAGAACGUCAGCACUUGAUCGCAUUGGUGGUCAAAACCCAACCUCCGUCUUCAAGAGGCUUAACAGGCCAACAUCCCAGCUCUCCUUCUCGUCGGUCGACUUUGGAAAGACUUGAAGACAACAGGAAGUUUUCUAGAAAUAGGGAGACAACGUCAAAGGAAGAAAAGCUCAACAGGCUAGCAGAAAAAGGCGAUAUUUGAAGCUGAAUUCCUUCAAGGAUGAAGUGCCAAGCAAUCUUGAAGGUUGACACAAAUGGACCACUGAAAGUAAGAAGGUGCAUCAUCAUCCGCACUGGACAAUCUUCAUGCCAACAAGCCCAAGAGGAUGACACUGAAUGGGAGAUCCAAGACAUCUUCCUCGUCACAAUUCAAAAAGGUAAAGGAGAUGAAAUCCCUAAGGAAGAAGUCACCUCUGUUUCUUUCGACUCAAAGUCGCCACCUCAAUCGCUAGGGGCAUGCUCCAAGUCAAGCGAAGUUGAAGGAGGGACUCAUGUCGCUUCAAAGAAAUUACACAUAAAGCCUACGUCACAUUCACAAAUGCACCAGUUGAAAAGGGGGCAAGAAACCAUUGUUAAUACACUUUCAAGCCUGGAUGAAGUUGAGAUCGACAACAUGAUCGAAGGUGAUCUAAUUUAAGAGGUCGUGGAUGCAGGACGAAACUUAAAUGUUGCCUUUAAAAAAUCAGGGGAACUCCGCGCUUGCAUAGAUUCUCGUAACUACAACACCCGAAAGAACAACACCGAAUAGGAAGUCCAAGAUGUCUUCCACAUCACGGUCCAAGAAAGCAAAGAAGACGAGAUCCCCGAAGAAGAUGUCACUGCUGUGCCACUGCAACUUGAGGAUGGGGGGAAUCCACGGUUGAUGAUCUCAAGGAGCUCAACUUAAGCACAAAAGAGGAGCAGAAACCUAUCUUUGUAAGUGCGCUGCUAAGUGCGGACGAGAUAGAGGAGUAUUACCAAUUGCUAUCAGAAUACAAAGACGUCUUUGCUUGGACCUACAAAGAAAUGCCUGGCCUUGACCCUAUCAUUGUUGUGCAUCAUCUUGCAGUCAAGCUUGGAACGCGACCGAUAAGGCAAACUCAAAGGCGUUAUUGAUCCGAGUUCAUUCCACAAAUCGAGGUAGAGAUUGACAAGUUAAUCGAAGCAGUCUUCAUUUGGGAGGUGCAAUACCCCAAGUGGAUCUCCAACAUCAUCAUCGUCCUUAAGAAAUCUGGACAAAUACGUGUUUACGUAGACUUCCGGGACCUCAACGACGCUUGCCCGAAUGACGACUUCCCCUUGCCAAUCAUCGAAAUCAUGAUGGAUACAACCACUGGCCACGAGGCACUGUCAUUCAUGAAUGGCUCUUAUGGAUAUAAUCAAAUUCGUAUGGCUCUCGAAGACGAGGAACUAACAGCCUUCCGCACUCCAAAAGGUAUUUACUGCUACAAGGUGAUGCCCUUUGGUCUGAAGAACGCUGGAGCUACAUAUCAACGUGCAAUGCAGAAAAUCUUUAAUGACAUGCUACACAAAAACGUAGAAUGUUAUGUAGACGAUGUGGUGGUCAAGACAAAGAAAAGAUCAGACCGCUUGAAGGAUUUGCGAAUGGUGUUCGAAAGGUUGUGAAAAUACAACCUCAAGAUGAACCCGUUAAAAUGUCCAUUUGGCGUCACCUUCGGAAAGUUCCUUGGCUUCAUUGUCAAGCAUCGUGGUAUUGAAGUUGACCGAUAAAAAAUCAAGGCCAUUCAAAGCAUGCCUGAGCCAAGAAACCUGCAUGAGCUGAAAAGUCAACAAGGACGGCUAACCUUCAUCAGACACUUCAUCUUCAACCUUGCAGGGCGUUGUCAACCGUUCAGCCGACUCAUGAAGAAGGAUGUUUCGUUUGUAUGGGACGAAACAUGCCACAAUGCUUUUGAAAGCAUAAAAAAGUAUUUGUCAAGUCCACCUGUCUUGGGGGCACCUGUGCCCGAGAAACCACCAUAUUGUACAUCGCCGCUCAGGAAAGUUCAGUUGGAGCACUCUUGGUGUAAGAGAAUGAAUCCCAGAAAGAAUGAGCGCUCUAUUACCUCUGCCGAACUCUCACCGGCGCCGAGUUGAACUACUCCCCAAUAGAAAAGAUGUGCCUUGCCUUGGUGUUCGCCAUCCAGAAACUCAGGCAUUACAUGCAUGCUUACACCAUCCACUUGGUUACUAAAGCUGACCUAAUCAAAUACGUCAUGUCCAAACCAGUCUUGACGGGGUAACUCGCUAAAUGGGCAUUGCUUCUUAACCAGUAUGAGAUAAUCUACAUCCUAACUAAAGCUGUCAAGGGACAAGCACUAGCAGACUUUCUUGCUGAUCACCCAAUCCCAGCUGAUUGGAAAAUCUCAGACGACUUGCCUGACGAGGAAGUGUUCUACAUCGACAUCUUCCCGACAUGGACGAUGUUCUUCGACGGAUCUGCACGAGCAGACGGAGCAGGGGUAGGAAUAGUAUUCAUGUCGCCACAAAGGCAGAUAUUACCUUAUUCAUUUCAACUAAGCGAAUUAUACUCCAACAACGUCGCUGAGUACCAAGCACUGAUCAUCGAACUCCAAAUGGUGAUCAACAUGGGAAUCAUAGCCCUUGAGGUAUUUGGCGACUCCAAGCUCAUAAUCAAUCAACUCUUAACCGAAUAUGAGGUGAGGAAAGAUGAUCUUGUCCCAUACUUCCGGCUGGCAACUCAACUGCUACAAGAGUUUGAGAUUGUGACACUAGAACAUAUGCCAAGAAAAGAAAAUCAAAUGGCAGACGCUCUUGCCAACCUAGCCUCAAGCAUGACAUUAGGAGAAGACGAAGCUGCAGACGUGCCAGUCUGCCAAAGAUGGGUGACCCCCCUCGUCACCGAAAUGCUAUUGGAUGAUACAAAUGUCAUCUCAGUACUUCCAGUCGAUGUUAAAGAGUGGAGACAACCGCUGAUCAACUACUUAAAGCAUGGAAAACUUCUAGAUGAUCCUAGACACCGCUCCGAAAUACGUCAACGAGCACCUCGCUUCCUUUACUACAAAGAAACACUCUACCGGCGCUCUUUCGAAUGAGUACUUCUGAGAUGCCUAGGCGAGGAAGAAGCCAAUCAAGCCAUGGAAGAAGCACAUUCAAGCGUGUGUAGGGCGUAUCAGUCUGGACCAAAGCUGCAUUUCCAGCUCAAAAGGAUGGGUUAUUACUGGCCAAGCAUGGUGAAGGACUACCUGGAACAUGCCAAAAGGUGCAAAGCCUACCAAUUCCAUGCCAACUUCAUACACCAACCACCUGAGCCAUUACACCCUACAGUUGCUUCAUGGCCAUUCGAUGCAUGAGGAUUGGAUGUCGUAAGACCAAUUACCCUAAAGUCAUAUGCAGGAGAAGCUUACAUUCUAGCUGCAACAUAUUACUUCUCCAAGUGGGCUGAAGCCAUACCCCUAAGGGAAGUAAAGAAGGAAACCGUCAUCCAUUUCAUCAAGGAGCACAUCAUCCACUAAUUUGGGGUACCUUGCUACAUCAUCACUAAUAACGGAAAACAAUUCUCCAACCGACUCGUGGAUGAGCUCUGUGAGAAAUACAAGUUCAAGCAACACAAGUCUUCCAUGUAUCAUGCUCCGGCCAACGGUCUUGCAGAAUCAUUCAACAAAACAUUGUGCAAUCUUCUGAAGAAGGUGAUCGGUCGAAUAAAGAGAGACUGGCAUGAAAGAAUAAGCGAAGCACUUUGGGCAUAUCGAACGCCACAUAGGACUCCUACCCAAGCUACGCCUUAUUCUCUUGUAUAUGGCGUGGAAGCUGUUCUACCGCUCGAAAUCCAAAUCCCCUCACUAAGAAUGGCUAUACAAGAAGGCUUGACUGAUGAAGAGAAUGCAAAGUUGCGCCUUCAAAAGUUGGAAGCACUCGAUGAAAGAAGGCUCGAAGCUCAGCAACAUUUGGAAUGCUACCAAGCAUGGCUAUCCAAGGCAUUCAACAAGAAGGUCCGCCCAAGGUCUUUCCAAACUGGAGAUCUCGUCCUCACAUUGCGUAGGCUUAUCAUCACAACUCACAAGACAAAAAGCAAGUUCACAUCAAAGUGGGAUGGACCAUACAUAAUACAAGAGAUCUACACCAACGGCGCCUACUUAAUCACGGCAGAAGACGACUUGAAUAUUGGCCUUAUCAAUGGAAGAUUCUUGAAGCGCUACUACCCCUAAAAGGCGAUAACCAACGCUCUUGGUUCGCACGAGCCUAAACUGCACAAACCAAAGCUCCUGGCCCGCAAAAGCAUAAUCUGUAUACGGCAAAAUCAUCAUCAAAAUCAUUGUUAAAUUCAUCGCUCAUUUGAACUACGUUAUGACUUGAUCCCUCCUCAACUGAGGGUACGUAGGCAACUUGAAACUUCAAAACUUCAAGUACAGUCACACCAUCAAAACUUCAAAAAUAUAAAUACUUUAUUUCUUUAAAAGAAGAAGUCGGCUCCAAAGCCUUAUUACAAGAAAAAUAGAAGAUACUACUUGAAAACUAUGUCCCUAAAACUACGAAGGCGAUCUUCAAGCAAGCCUUCCAAAGUCUUCAAAGUCUCUACCUCGGUGGGAGACAAGAUGGGCAACUCCAUAGUCAUGCCUUUCUCUCGUUUUAGGCGUGAAAUCUCCUCCUGGUACUGAGAAGGUGUAGUUCCCUGCUCCGAGAGAACACUUUCAAGUUGCGAUGCUUCGAUUACCAACUGCUCUCGCUCUUGCACCAACGCAUCUAGACACACUUGGACAGAAGUUAAAGAAGUAUCUGUGAAUUGAUAAUCUCCCGAAGCAGCUUGCUGAGAAGACCGGACUUGAGCCAGUGACAAGUUUAUUGUUGCUAGCUGAUGAGCUAUAACAUUUGGACUCAACUUAUCCAAGGAAAUAGCACGCAAGGAAGAAUACUCAGUCGAGGCGGCCAUAAGGUCGGCAAUCUUGAUCUUCAACGAUGAAGAAGCAACGUUAAGGUUGUUAAUCACAGAAACAAGCUUCGGAAAAUCCUCUUUGAGCAACAUAUGGUCUUCCAACGGGCACUUAGAAAUCCUCUUCUCUAUAUGGCUCUUGAUAUCCAUUGUCGCACCAAGACUAAUGCGAUGGAUGACUUGCUCAGUACCGCUAAGGUUCGGCCCUCUCAAAGAAAUCUCAGAGCUAGCUGGCAAAGGUGUUGGACGCAUGACGGGUCGCCGAUCCUCGAUCUCCCUGUCUGUAGGUAGGUAUCCUACAAAUAGCAUCUCCAUAUAGGAAUAAACAUCUGCAGUUGCCAAAUCAAAAGGACGAGAAGGCCCAGCCUAAAGAAGGCAAAGAAAGAUGUUAGAAACAAAAGCCAAAAUGAUGAAAGCAGAAGAAAUCACGAAAAAAAAAAAUUGAAGUACAUACAUCUCUCUCAAAUGACACACGGUCAUCAAAUCGAUGAGGUCUAAACACUUCCUUCUUCUUAUGAUGAAAAUUGACAUCGCUGUCAACAUGAGCAUCCUCAAGUGGUCGCUUGUUUGAAACUUGUUCACGCUGCUGCAAAAUAAAUCCAUCUUCGUGUGAAUCAACUUCAUCUCCCACCUCUCUAGAAGCAUUCGGAUGUCGAGGAGACAAGCAAGGGCGUUGAUGAGCUAAAGCUACAGGUCUAUCUUGUAAGGGAGCCGUACUCGCGCAAUCAAGAGGUACCAGUUGCAUAGGAACCACAAGACAACCCUCUCUCGACAUAUCAUCACCUAAGUGAGAAUAAUUGGUAUCACUUGCCAUCCCCAAGCUCUUAUAAUGUACCUUUGACCACCAACAUGCGUAAACACGGGUCAUUGGAUUACUUUUGAACUCAUCAUUGGCUGGCAGCGUGAUAACAACAUUUGUGCAUGCACGGGUACAAGACUAUCAAUGCAUGUACACGGCUUGCAAGGAUGCCAAUUGGUUCUUUGCCUUCAGCUUGCCUGGCACAUUUUGGACAAAGCCAAAUUGCUUGCUGAAACGGUGGGGAUUAUAUGGCUGAACAAUGCAUCGGUCUUCUUGCCGUAAAGAAACAAACCCCGAGCGAAGACUUAUAAGAUAAGACAAGUCUGAGAAGCGGAGACGCGAAUUGUCUACGAUGCCUCGCCGCACCGGGCCAUCCUUAAAUCUUUAAAUCUUCACAACGUUUAAAUAGCGCUCGCGCUUGCAAAUCAUCAAGGCUCUUCGCGGAGAGCACGCUAGAAUACUUCGUCAUCAAAGGCCUCAGUUUGGCUCUAAUCGAUGAAAAAGACAUUGACUUGUCUAAAGUCAACAAAGAAAAAUGAGUGCCAAAAUAUUCACCCAACCAACCAUACACAUAGUGGUAAGGGAGCACUGCAGCAUGAUCUUCAGUGCUUGCCGAGUUCGAAACAAUGCUCAAGCCAUUAUAAAUGUUGGUUAAGACCGGAAUAGCAAGGCUAAAAGACUCCCCUGCAGCCAUCUUGCUAGCAACCUUGAAAACUCCAGGACAAACUAAGUUGACGUCGCCUGUUAGGAAAACAAACUUACAAAGCCAACAAGCUAAGAAAGCAGCUAGGUAAGACUCUUCCACAUGCUCUGAUGUUAUGCCAAGAUCCUCAAACGCUCUCAACUUGUCAGAAGAACGGCGCAUGGUUGAGCCAAUAACACCGGACGGGUCUGAGUCUCCCUUUGGCCUAGUGGUUUUAUUAUGGCCAUUUUUCUUCAAAGGCUUCUUAUACCUCAUGGCCUCCCAGUACCAAAAUCGGAUCCAUGAGGAAUUCCUCACGCCUGAUUUACCUUGAGCAUCCUGGAAAAGCUUGUGAUACGCCCAAAACAAACAGCGGCAACUCGCAGGCAAUCCUCGGUUAUAGCAAAGAGAAAGUUCAUUCACGCUGAGAACGACCUCGUCGUAAAACUUGCCUUGGAUCGGCAAGCCUCUUAUCCUGUGAAGAUCCCAAAGUGAAAUUGACAUCUCCCCUUGCGCCGUGUGAAGUGUGUUGGUCGUCGAACACCAAUGCUCAAAGAACGCACGAAGGACGGAAGGAUGGCGAUCAUAACUAAACAAAGAUGCGUACACAGCGUGGUAAAGGCCCACGUUAGUAAGCACAUCUUUAGAUCGGCUUAAGACAUCUUCAAGCCACACCCAAUAAAACUCAUCAGACGGCCUCUCCAGUGGUCGACAGGGUACCAUUCCAAGCCAUAGCUCCACUGCGGAUAUGAUCACCAAGAAGCUUAAACGAGGCCGAAUGAUUGUCAUGAUUAUGGUGCGAAUGAUUCAAGAUAAGAACCCUCGAUAUGCACACCUUCUUCUUCAUAUUUGGUCGAACAGAGUCUACCACCUCCCAAGAUACUUCAGAAGACCACGACUUAAUAUGCAUGGAGUUGUCUUUCGCGAGAAGAGCAAGCGCCUUAUAACCAGUCAGUGGCGUGUAAAGCUUCAACGUUGUCCCCUCAUCUUGCGAAUCGCCGUCCUUCGCAAGAAUGGUGAUGGUGUUGCUCUUAAAACACUUAAAAAAUACCAUGACUGCAAAAAAAAAAAAUCAGCCACAAAACUUGAGCACCACGGCAAAUAGGGCAGCUACAGAGCGUUCCUUUAAAGCACGCUACACUGGCGAAGAAAACCAAAAUGCUAUGCAAUCACACUACGUAACCCCGCUGCAGGCUCUUGCACAACACCACACGGCAGCGCACUACCAAGGGAAAACUGUGAUCAAAAGGCACUACACAGCAAAACCCCGUUACAGUCUCUGGCACAAGCACUAGGCAACCUGCUCACUCCGCCACCAACAACCAUGUCUCUAAAAGCUUCGUGAGAGUCUCGGCAUCAUGCUCUGCCUUCAUAAAAAAUAGACACAUCGUAUUUUAUAUAUAUAAGACAUACAUACCCACGGCAAGUGGCAAGGUCAAUGUGCAUGGCAACGUCACCACCAAGGAAAGUUGUGACCAAAAUGCACCACAUAGCAAAAUCCAGCCGCAGUCUUUUGCACAGCAACACGUGGUCUGCUCCAAGCUCCAAGCUCCAAGCUCCAAGCUCCAAAGUUCACCAGUUCGACAAGCAGCAAAGCAGAGAAGAACGUUCACAGCAGAAGGAGGUUAUGUCUAUGGUCAUUUUAUAAGCUCAACUUGUCCGUCCAAGUGAAGAAAAGAAAAGAAAAGAAAAGAUAUAUAUAUAUAUAUAUAUAUAUAUAUAUAUAUAUAUAUAUAUAUAUAUAUAUAAAAAUAAUAUAAUAAAAAAAUUUGGGUGCUUCAUGCACCAUGUAAAGAAAAUAUAAAAUAUAUGUAUAUAUUAUUAAAAAAUGUAGGUGCUUCCAGCACCAUGCAAGAAAAAUAAUUUAAAAAAAAAGGAAAAGCAAAAGAAGGUGGCCGGCCAUCAUUUAAAAAAAUUGUAAGGGCUUUGGGUGCUUCACGCACCAAGUUUUGGAAUUCUGGAGGUGCAUGUGCACCAUGCAAAAAAAAAAUUAAAAAAUUAAAAAAUUAAAAAAUUAAAAAAAAAAAAGAAGAAAAGAGAAUGAUAGUCAUCUUUUGUUAAGGGAUGGUGGUGUCCAGAAAGCAAAAGGGACAAACAUUCAAAUUGGGAAAAAGAAGGAAAAUAUUGAUGGUGCCAGUCUCACCGACAGUGAAAAAUACAUAUAUAUAUAUAUACACACACACACAGAAUGAAAUAAGGCUCAUUUAUUGAUUUCUCUGAAAAUUUACAUAAAUGUACAUUUUACAUAUGAAAAAAAAAAUUAAAAAAAAAUUAAAAAAAAUUAAAAAAUUAAAAAAUUAAAAAAUUAAAAAAUUAAAAAUUAAAAAUUAAAAAUAAAUACAGGAGGGAGCUUUCACGAAGGUUGCUCGUGUGAAGCCUCAUCACUCUGCGAAACUCCAGGAAAACUUUGGAGGUUGACUGUUUAGAGCCUCAACAUUCAGUAAAACUUUGGAGGACGAAGGCAAUAGAUGCCUUUGAAGUAAAGCCACAAACGUCCGAUGGUCACUCUGAAUCUGAUCUUCAGAUUCCUGCAGCUGGUCGAGCUUUCUUUUCAUGUUCGUUGAGUAACUAUUGGCAAGCAUGUGCAACUCUUUGUUUUCAUGCUUAAGCCUUCUAAUCUCUUGCUUAAGACUCGCCGCCUCAGCCAUCAGUGACUCGACUUGACGAGUUCGAGCAAGAAGGCGUUGGCCCAUAUUUGAUACAGAGCCCGCACACUGAACACUAAAAGCCAGAGAGUCCUGAACAGCCAAUCAUUAGACCGCUUGGAAAAGAUCCUAUUGUCCUUAGGGGUGAGAAGAUUCCUAGCUACCACCGUCGCGGUUAUGUCAUUCUUCAUCAUAGAGUCCCCAACUGUAAGAGGACCGGUGGCGGAUAAGAAGGACGGGCGCCAUACGUUGUCUGGAGAAGACAUAUCAACAUCUUCCCCAACAUUCAAAUCAAGACGACGAUCAGAUGGGCAAGCCAUUUGCAAAAAUGAUGAAAGAAGAAUAGGUCGUGUAAGUCGAAUUCUUAGAAAUGCAAAAUAAGGGAAAUUCCUAACAGGUAGCGACUCUCUAAGUGUGUUUUUGAACACGAUUCAUGCCUCUAUAAAAAGAAGAGGCAACAGGGCCUGUUCAAAAAUCGAAGAGGCAAUGUGGUCGUUCAGAAACCAAAGAGGCCCCUCUCCCCGAAUUUCAAAAAACUGAGCCAUUUGUUCAUAAAUCGAAGAGGCAACAAGGCCACCAGUUCAAAGAUCGAAGAGGCACCACUCUCUGAAUUUCAAAAAAGACCGGCUUUUCAGGAUUUGUCACCAUCCUUCACACGCAACCUCAACUUUGCGGAAAUCACGCACAACUUUGUAAAAGAUUUCUGACAAAGCUGAAAACGCGUGAAUCUUACUAUUUCAAUUACCCAACGGUUGCCGACAAGAGUAAAGGAAUAGUGCCACUACUGGCUAUUGGGAAAUUCCUAUAUAUGUCGACCUUCACCCUCCAUAGCAAGGCAGACCUGCAAAAAUGUCCAACCCUUCCUCAUUUCCGAGAGUACACUCCCAGCAAAGCCUAUUGAAAUACCCAGUUUUCUUCCUCUCCUGGAAUACCUCUGUAAACAAAUGACACCAAAGUAAAAGUAUCCCAUAUCAUCAGGGUAAAAAGCAAGAGUAUCUCAUAUCAUGCAAUCUCCCUAUCCUUUUCUUUGUCCUUGUUCUUACCUGCAAAGACAAGGAUAAAGAAAGCAAUAUGUCGGAACCUCCACUCAAACUCCGGGUAAGGAAUCGACUACCUGGAACCUUUGCCUGGUUGCUUACCUGGCAUUGCUCUAAAGUACUCGUCUUAAACUGCUGAUGUACUUCCGAAGAAGAUGCCACAUUUGCCUAGAGAACAGAUAAGGCAAGUGAAAAUGAUACCUUGAAGCAUGUGGAGACAACGUGUUGAUUUCCUUCAAGAUCAAGUCUCCCCUUCCCUGCACAAUCAAGCAACCCAGCAGAAGAAGUCUGAGUUGAAUCCAAGAGCUCGAGCUGCUUCAACAACAUAUUGACGGCAUCAUCAUCGAAGAGCAAAGCCUCGCUGUGCAACGCUGUCAAAAUUGCCACCAUUUAUUCGAAAGCAAGAGUAUUUCAUAUCAUGCUUUCUCUAUGUCCUUGUCUUUGUCCUUGUUUUUACCUGCAAGACAAGAAGAAGGAGAGCCAUCAGUCAGAACUUGAAAGUCAAACUCCCAGUCAGGAACCGAUUGCUUGGAACUUUUCCCUGAUUGCUUACGUAGCACUACUCUCGAAGUAUCCAUUAUCUCAACAUCUUAUACUUCCAGAUAAGAUACCACAUCUGCCCGAAGAACAGAUAAGGCAAGGGAAAAUGAUACAUUGAAGCAUGUGGAGACAAGCACAACAAAGCACAACAAAGCACGUGCCAAUUCAUCUGCUACUUCUUCAAAAUCAAAAGUAUCUCAUAUCAUCAGGGUUUCAAUCACUCUGGGUAGUGGACUCGUUUUGACCCUCAAAUUCUUGGGUCGACUUGCUAGGCGUUGUGGGCUGCACGUGCCGAUUCACCACCCUUGAAUCAAAUCCUUAAAGAUCAAGUCACCAACUGGAAGAAGAGCCCAUCAAUCUUGAAGAUCAUACCGUUGACCAAACUCCUCAAGUGUGAAUUAGAAAGAUUGAACAAAGCAACAAGUCAUCACCUUCACCUCGUGCCUGCUUGCCAUGUGUUCGAGUCAACCUUCAAGAAUCAAGCCUCAACGGCCCUUGAAGAAGCUUCCAGCCAAAUUCAAGAUCAAGCCUCGACGACCCUUGAGGAAAUCACAAGUCCGAUUCAAGAUCAAGUGUCUACCACCCUUGAAUCAAAUCCAGUUCAAUAAUAAGCUGUGGAAAGUCAACAAUUGGAGGAAACCAGAAAAUCCUCCAACCUAGUUCAAGAAUAAGCUUGUGGAAAGUCAACAAUUGGAGGAAUCCAGAAAAUCCUCCAACCCAGUUCAAGAUCAAAGCUGUGGAAAGUCAACAAGCGCAACAAAAUACGUGUCAAUUCAUCCACUACCAAAGCCAAGGAUCAUAUACCACAUGAAGCUCCUUGUGGUCUAAUUUCAACCUUCAAUAUCAAGCCUCGACGACCCUUGAAGAAAUUUCAAACAAAGUUCAAGAACAAGCCUCAACGGCCAUUGAAGAAAUCUCUAACCUAAUUGAAGAUCAACCAUCAAUGGCCCUUGGAUCGACAUCUACAUUAAGGGACUUCAAAACGCAUCUUCUACACAUAAUAAACACGUGUAUACAGCGUGCCUUGAAGUGGGGGCAUUUGUAGACAUCGAAAUUUUGGUGAAAUAAAUGUUGAUCAAUAAUUAAAAUUUCAACGUUCACGUGUCACAUAAAUUUUACACAUAGCAGGUGACUCAACGAAAAAUCGAGAAUCAUCAAAAAAGUCAUCAAACAGGACACGUGUCAACACCUGGCAGAAACGAUUUAUUUCAUCUGAAUAAUACAUUCAAAAUUAGGCUUUGGAAAAUUCUAUAAAUAGAAGCCAUUUCAUUCAUUUUGGGGACCCCAAUUCAUAACCAAUUCACCUCACACCAAAACCUUGAAGCUUUGAAACUCCAAAGCCCCAAGCAAAUCCCGAAAGAUCAAGAAAGCUCUCUUCGUUCUUCGUCAACCCAACCUUCAAGAUCAAGCCCCAACGGCCCUUUGAAGGAACUUCCACCAAUUCAAGAUCAAGCCCCGACGGCCCUUGAAGAAAGCGUUCAUCGUUCAUCAUCCGUUCAUCCUAAGAUCAAGCCCCAAAGACCCUUUGGAUCAACAACAUCAACAAAUCCACAUAUCCAACCGUUCUUCAAGAUAAAGCCCAAAAGCCCUUGAAGAUCCAUUCAUCAACUGUUCAUCAAGAUCAAGCCCUAAAGGCCUUUGAAGAUCCGUUCAUCAACAAUUCUUCAAGAUCAAGCCCAAAAGCCUUGAAGAUCCGUUCAUCCAUCAACUUUCAAGAUCAAGCCCAAAGGCCCUUGAAGAAACUUCCCUGAACCUUCAAGAUUAAGCCCCAACGACCCUUGAAGAAAACUUUCAACCGUUCAUCCAAGAUCAAGCCUCGACAACCCUUGGAUCAAUCGCACAUCCACAAAUCAACACCUUACGGAGAUCGAAUCAGAUGAUCAAAUUUGAGAGAGAUUGUAACCCCUAAAUCAUUAAUACAAAUAUUAUUUUGUACAUGUGUUCUUGUCUAGUUCGUUUCAGGAAUUUCCGUAUUUACAGAUUCAACUUUAAAUUAUAAACAGUCUCAAGAGGUGUCCUCUAAGGAGGACGAAAAGAAGACUGAAUAGCAUUAGCAAUAGCUUCUCCUAAUUGAGCAAUAUCGGGGAAACUAGGCUCAACAGCGGGACGUGGAUCUCUACGAGGCGCCAUAGUUCUGACAGAAGACAUCAAAAUAAUUAGAAAAUUCACAAGAUAUGCAAGACUGCAAACCUAAGCUCUGAUGAUGGUGCUCGUCCUCUAGAUAGGUCUCACCUAUAUGCGAAAUAACUAAAUAAACGUUAAUUAAAGCAUACAACCACAAUUAGCUAAUAACUUCUCAUACAAUGCUCAAAUGGGGUGUUUGAAUAUACCAACGUGAUCUACUCAACACCACGAGCAUCCCCAUAUUUUUAGAAAAAUUUUCCGAGCAUCUACGCACCGGCCAAGGCACAGCCAGAUGCACGGCCCACGUUCAGGCACGUGCCUGACACACCAAACGGAUUCCCUAAUGGAGUUAGGGAAUAUUCCAUUAAAAACCAGCAUAUACCGUUAAAAUUACCUAACGACAUUAGCAUAUUCCGUCAAAUUUGAUAGAAUAUUCUCCUCCUUCCUCCUUGGUUUGCUGAAGUCCAGCACCGGUGCGGCUGCUAUCGCAGGAAACUUGAAAAAUCUUUAAAACUUCAUAUUUUAUUCGAUUCUCAACCAAAAUUCAUGAAAUUUGUCUCAAAAUGAAGCUUAGAGUGAGUAGAACACAUUCUUACCACUUUCAAGCCUUGAAAUCCAUGGAAACUCGCUAGAGAAACCUCGAUAAUCUGGCCAAAAUUUGAAACUCGUCAAACUAAGCUUCCCGAGGUCCAAAACACUCCAACUUUCUUCCCCGAUCGUCGUGAAGACGUCCUAAAACUCCCUAGAACCUUAAAACUCGAAGAAAAGUCCAUAAUCAUGACUGCAUGAACAAUGCUCAAAAUCGGGAUUCUUGGGUUCUCGGGUUUUCGAAGGAUUCAUGUUCUAAAAAUGGUACGGAUGUGUUCCUGAGCUCACAAGGAACACAAAGAUGGCUUCCAAAACCUCGAUCCAUGAUUAGUGAGCUAGGUUCGAGUUUGUCCGUACUGUUGUACGGAAAUGGAAGAAAAUCCGAGAGGGAGGAGAUAGAGAGUCAACGAGAUUGGUUGGUGUGUGUGUGUGUGUGGUCCAACUUUGGGCUACUAACAACAACAAACCAUUAACUUUAAGUUCCAAAAACUUAGGAACUUAACAUAUUGGUCCACCUCUAAAAGUACGUUACACGCAACACAUCUCAAUGUUCAAGAGCAAAAUAGACAUUUCACAUUGUUGAUAAAAAUAAUCUGAGACAGGCUGUGACAAAUAAUGUUUAAAAGUGGUCCAAUGUUGGUUGUGUACAAAUCAUGUGGUGGUUGGUUGGGGAAAAUAUUUAUAUUUCGACAAGUAAACCAUUUUUAAGGAAUUAUGUAAUCAUAAAUUUUUAAUUUAAAUGGAUGUGCGGGGCUGUUUUUUUUCUUUCUUUUUCGAUAGACAUGAGGCGUGUGGGGAUUCUGCUUCGCUAUUUAAAAUACGGUGUACUUGUAGUUCAUUUCAUUUAUUGGUGAAAUAUUUAGGUUUAAAUCUGGUUAACGAAUAAGCCAAAUUAAAUUAUUAUAGUUGAUCUAUUGUGUGAUUUGAACCUAUAUCAUCAUUUUUAGUGUAAAUUAUAGCGUUAUAAUUUUUUUUUUUAAAGUCAUGCUGUUUUAUAAUAGUUUGAAUAUCUGGAAUAAAUCGUUUACCUUUACCUUCAUCUUUAUGUACGUGGAAUUUUACGAGUUAUCUAUUACAAUCCUGGAAACCAAACGAGCUUAAGAAACAAAGAAUCGGAAUAUUUAAACUUAGGACCUUGAAUACAAAAGUGUAUAUUCUUAAUCACUUGAGCUACAAUUUCUUUGUUAGACUUUUGUAGUUUAGAAUGCAUAAUCUAAUAAAAGCUUUAUUUACAGAAGAAAAGAAAGAAAAUGAGGAGACAUGUUUGAUUUGUACUAAAUAAUAGGGGUGUGAUAUCUACACAUCACGUUUUAACUUCUCACACACCCUCUUAAUUUCUAACCGUUAGAUCGAAUGAAUUAAAAAAAAAAUCAAAAGACAAAAAUAAUAAUGCUUAAAGGUGGUCCAAUGUUAGUUGUGUAAAAAUCAUGUGGUGGUUGGUUGGGGAAAAUAUUUAUAUUUUCAAUUUAAAUGAACCUGUGGAGCUUUUUUUUUUUUUUUUUUUUUUCUUUGAUAUUUUGAUACAGACAUGAGACGUAUGGGGCUUGUCAAAAGAGUCAUUCUUCUUUGUUAUUAAUUCAGUCUAGUUGUAUUAUGUUUUAUUAAUAAAAUAUAUAGGUUUAAAUCUUGUUGACUAAUAGGGCCGAACCAAAUAAUUAUAUUUAAUUUAUUGUGUGAUAUUUUCAUCAUCUUUAGUGUAAAUCCUAUGGUUAUAAUUUUUUUUUAAGUCAUGCGGCUUUAUAACAGUUGAAUACAAUAUUGCAAUAAGUGCGAAUAGUGUCAAGAGACUAAUGUGAAACUUUUGUUGAAUUGAAGGACAUAAAUUGACCGAAUUUUUGUUCUAGGACAUAUUCUAAAGUCGGGAGCAAGUUCAGGGAUGAAUUCUCAUUUUCACCUUUUUAAAUCUUUCUUUGCUUAUAAAAACAGAUGAAUACUUGUAUUAUGUGGAAAGAUUUACAAUAUAUGAAGCUAUCGAUUGAAAUGUAAAUGUAAAUAUUGUUGAUGUGAUAUUCAAGUUGUUAGGAUUUAAUGUGAGUCAUUGAAUCAUAGUCUUUUUGGUAUCUUAGAUUAGAUUUCAUUAAGUCAUAACUCAUGACAAGUGUAAUCAUCUCAUAAGGUGACUUAAGAUUGAAUGGUUAGGAUGAUUUUGUAUGGUGUGAUAGAGUGAGAGAGUGUGGUGCUCCUCCUCUAACGAUAAUAUAUUAUUUGCAUGCAUAUUAAAUUAUUAGUCUCUGUGAUGAUAUGGUAGUUGGAAGAAAGUUCAUGUAGUAAAAGAACAAAAAACCAAAUCCCCUCCUUCUUUCCUGCAACCCGCACCUCCACCAGCGUUUUUUUAUCAGGAAAACUAAUGAAAAGGGCUUGAAAACUUUGAGUUUUAAUGAUAAGGACAAAAUAAAGGGUAAAGUGAAUAGUACCAGGAUUGACUUUUUAGUGUAAAAAUAUGGUUUUUCGUUAAAGUGAACAGUACCGGGAGCUUUUCGUUAAAGUUUCCUUUUUUAUCUUCCCCCAAUCAACUUUUUAACCACUCAAAGCUGUCCUAAAAUCCCUUUUCUUCUUCUCUCUCCUCAAAACCUUCUUCUUCCCUUCUUCCUCCCCCAAUCAAAUUUUAAACCCCUCAAAGCUAUCCUAAAAUCCCCUUGUCUUCUUCUCUCUGCUCAAAACCCAAAAAGCCUGCGUGCGCUUCCAACAUCCAGGUUGCAGACAGGUUCGCGGCGAUCUGCAGGCUGCUGGAGCAGUAGAUUUUGCAUUCGGCUUCCUCCGCUAACAAGUCUUAGAUUUGGCAACAGCUCUAGCACUACUCUCAGUUCCCCGAUUUCAAUAACUACCUUGCUUUCAAUCUCGCACGUGCCGAGGUAUGCUCCCCCUCCCUCCACUUCCCCCCAAUUGUGUAUUCAUUUUCAAUUUGAGUCAGUAGGGUUUGUGUUUUUGCUUUUCAAUUUUUAUUUUUUUAAGAGAGAGAGAGGGAUGGGGAAGAAAUUACAGGGGGAAGAAGAAAGGUGGGGGAAGGUUGGGGGAGACUGGUGGUGAAGGAAGGCUGGGGGAGGGUGUGGGUUGCAGGGAAGAAGGAAGGGAGGGUUGGGGGAGGAAGAAAGGAAGAAGAAGAAGUAGAGAGAGGAAAAAAAAAAAAAGAAAAAAAGCUGGAGGGUGCGGGUUGCAGGAAGAAGAAGGGGAUUUCAGGGUUUUUUUUUUAUUAUAAUUUUUUUUAAUAUAUAUUUUUUUAAUGAUAUGUGGCAUCUAGUCAUUGUCCACGUGGAACAACAUGAUCAGUUAACAGAAAACUUAACAGUUUGACUAACGGAUGAAUGAGACUGUCCCAAAAUUUACACUUUAGAUAUAACUCUAAAACGAAAAAAACUUGAUGUACCAAAUGUUGAAAACCACAAAACAUAAAGGUAGUAAAGGGAGUUACCCUAAAAAAAAUUAGAAUUUAAGUUCUUGUGGGGAAGUUUGUUAGUAUUUAUGCCAAAAAAUGAAACUUCCGUCAACUCUCCUUUAAUUAUUAACACGUGAGCUAUACAUAUUAGGCUAAAACAAAAUUCUCCAUCAAUUGUUAGCAUGUGGGGCUUAAAUAUGAGGCUAACUUUAUUUUUUAGUCUCAAAUGUGAGUUUCAUAUGCUAACAAUUAACGAAGAGUAGACGAAAUUUUUAAUUUUGAAUCUAAAUCUAAAUAGAUUUCACCACACGGACUUAAAUCCUCUUUUUUUUGUUGUUAUGAUUUAAUGUGAGUCAUUGGAUCAUAGUUCAUGUGGUCUCUUAGAUUAGAUUUCAUUAAGUCAUAACUCAUAACAAGUGUAAUCAUCUCAAAAGGUGACUUAAGAUUGAAUGGCUCUGAUGAUUUUGUAUGAUGUGAUAGAGCGACAAGUGUGAUGCCCCUCCUCUAACGGUAACAUAUUCUUUGCACGCAUUUGGUGUGAGGAUGAUAAUCCAAUGAGAAUUUCAGCUGUGAUACUUCUUUGCAAUUGUUGCAUCACUGCAAUUCCUCAGAAAUCAUUCCAUUGAAAUCGUACACUCAGAAUCAAUAUACUAACAAAUCUAUUACAAUGGAUUUCCGAAUUACUCGUUUCCCCAUGUUACGCCAACGCAUCUGUAGAACGGUAAGAACUUGGCCGGUGUUAAAGGUAGGCAUUGGUAGCGGUUGGUCAGCCCAAUCUGGUGAUAGUUCCACGAGAUGGCUGAAACUUACAUGAAACCUGUGUAUACCCCCAUCUGUAUCAUCACGAGAGGACGGAGAUAGAUGAGGAUAUAUUUUGUCUCUCCCGCAAGAGUCUGCUACACACUCAAGAAGCACCACGGUGUCAUGUUUUUGAUCCUAAUGAAGACCGCGCGGGUUCGGCGAACAUGCUCCCCGAGGCAUAACCAAAGAAUAAAAAUCAAAACAAUGGCCUGAGCAUGCUACUACUUAGGGGUGGAUUUUUUUGCCUAAUUGCCGUGCCAACCGAAUUACCAACCGUGCCAUACCGAUUUUGUGCCAAAUUUUUUUGUGCCAAUCGGUAAUGGUACGGUAUUCUACCGUACCGAAAUUUCUUGGUACGGUAUUGGUAAUGGAUAUCAUUACCACGGUAUUACCUUACCGUACCGAACAUAUAAUAUAAUAUAUCAUUUAUAAAUUAUAUAAUAUAUAAUUAUAUAACACAUAUUUAUAAUAUUCUAAUAAUUUGAUAUGAUGAAAGAGGCUCAACCUCGGUUCAAGAUUCCAAAUAGGAAGAAGAUUGCGGCCAAUGUGUGGGAUUUAUAUGUGUUGGAGAAGUCUAAAUUAUUUGAAGCAAUGCAUAAUCAAAAGGUAAGUAUCACAACCGAUACUUGGACAUCAGUACAAAACAUUAACUACAUGGUAGUUACCGCUCACUUCAUGGAUAAUGAAUGAAAGUUGCACAAACGGAUCAUAAACUUCAUAAAGAUCACGGGUCAUAAGGGAGAAGACAUUGGGAAAGUUCUAGAGGUGUGUUUGAACCAAUGGAGGAUAGAGAAGAUCUUUAGCAUGGGGGAAACUUCUAUUUGUUUUGGUUCAUAACUUCUAUUUGGAUUGUAAGCUUAAUUUUCAUCAUGAAUCUUGAUACAUCAUUUGAAUUAUUGUGUGUGUGAAUUGUAAAUGAUGAAUAAUAGAUGAAUUUAGGCUACAAUGUAUGAGAUACAGGUACAAUAAAAAAGUUUUGCCCUUGAAUUGGGUUAAAAAAGCAAGAACAAAUUUUGUCCCAAAACAAAGUGGCAAUUACCAUUGCCAUACAAUGCCAACCGAACAUUUGGCAAUACCGAACUUCGAUAUACCGAAAGUUUGGUAUGGUAAUGGUAAUAGAUUUUACCAAACCGAAAGUUUGGUAUGGUAAUUGGUACGAGGGUUUUGGUACGGUAACCGUACCGAACCCACCCCUACUACUACUUGUAUGCCCUUGUCCAAACAGGUACACAAUAUAUCAGGAUUCCCAAACCAAACGAGGUGCAUAUCGUAGCUGUGGCAUAUGCGUAUGCUCUCCAUGGGUAUUUGCUUUCUCUCAUCGCGUUGAACUCAGCGAUGAAGGUAGAAACAGUACUAAGGCAACCCAAAAAUCCAAAUUGUAUGCCUGUUGCAACAAUGUCGCAAGUCUUAGUAUUCACCUGCACAAACAAAUAGUUCUGCACGUCAGAUUUUCUAUUAAAAAGGAAAAAACCGUGGGCAUGGAUCAAGACAACGUAUGACAAAGGUAAUGCAGUUCGAAAAACAUUACAAUAGAGAAUAGUACGGUUCAAGAAUUCCCCAAGAAGCUUUUAAAACCUCGACGAGAAAAAAAAAAACCCAAAAUAACAAAUUUAGCAGUUUAUAAUAUGACGAAUAUAUGUGAACAGUAAGCUUGCCGGACACGAGACAAUAACACAUGAAAGGUAAUGGUGAGGAUGAAGUCAUGGAGUGGAUGCGGACAGAUAUCAUAUCAUAACAGCUUACUGCCUUCUUCACAGUAGACAGGGCUGCCAUUACACAAGCUGCAGAAACAUUGGCAAUUAAAGUACCAAAUGGAACCCAUUUCAACAACCCGGUCUUUCCUAAUCCACAUCCAUUAAGCCGGGCUAAGAACCACCGGAUCCACACACCAAAAGGUCCAACUAUGCAACCCAACCAUAGUUGCGCCUCGCUGCUGCUACUGUUAAAUUCCUCUCUCAACAGUACUCCACCUAUGCUCCACAGAGAACUUAGCAUCAGCAACAACACUACUAAAGCUACCAAGUGACGCUUGUAGCUGUCAACCCUCCACCUCCUUCUAGAGCUGGUAAUACCACAGACUGAGCUUCUCUCAAGAAUCUGCCUAAAACCCUUUGCUGUCUCUACCCCAAAAAUGAUGGAGUAGGCCGCAAGAAACAAACCUGACAUCCGUCACAUAAAAGAGGAUCUCAUAUUAGUCCAGUGAUUUGAGUAACAUUGAUUGAAAUGAAAUUUAAAUAUCCUGUUUGCCAAAGCGAUCCACAUGUCUACUGCAGCAAUUCUUUAGAAUAUGACAUCUUACCUAUCAAAAAGCCGAGCAGAGCAAAAACCCAAUGUCCUUCAACACUGAGUUCAAGCAUUUUCUGGUUCCAACCACUAAAAGUUGUAAGGCUUCCCAAGUAACCAGUUGUUAAUCCGAUGACCAAAUAAUCUGACACAUAGGAUAUAUCUCUUUGAAAACAACACCCAAACACCCCAUCAAGAAAGAGCCAACCUACAAAAAUGCAUUAGAAACAAAAAUUUGAGUUGGAACAUCAUCCAGCAUUUUCGGCAUCACAACCAUUGAGAACUAUGACAUGAAAAAAAAAAAAGAUGAUGGGAAAAAAGUAUGGAAAGAAAGGUGUUAAGAAACUUGAUAAUACUUCGGCGAUCAUCGUACUGUGUGCAUCACAAGUCCUUCCUAAUACUCAUAAGUAACAGCUUUACAGAAAACAUGUUUAUUAACACAACACUACCGAAUAAAGGGCAUAAUACAUUUGUGUGUGUGUGUGUAUGAUCGUGUGCAUGAGAGAGAGAGAGACCAUAUUAGAAGGAAGAUCAAGGUAGAGAAUGGUUUUGUCGCUUGUUACACCAACAACUCCAGGGCCAAACAAUUUUUGCAGAAGAUAUCUCGUUAAGACCUGCAUACUGUAGCAUGUCAAAUAAUCUAUUUAAUAUCUAGGUUUCCAGAUUUGAAGAAAGAUCUAAGAAGAUGUAUUACAGUGACAUAUUCAAUUUUUUCCAAGACAAACAGAAAUAUGAACAUGCCAGUGCAUCAUCAAACAUUUUUGUGAACAAAACUUAUGUAAUUUUAGGGGGUACAAUAGACCGGAUAC
rnacentral:lncRNA from 1 species